CUCUCUAGCAAAUAAGUUCAGCUGCAUAGAAUAUUCAUACUAAUAACACUGAGAGGCAAGAGCAACUUAGCAAAAUUAUUGUUGGCAAAGAAUAAUUCUGUACAACAUAGAAUCUGGAAAUCUGGAUCCUCUUUUUUUACCACUAUUAGCAAAAGUAGAUCAUAUCUUGGGUUGCAAAUGUUAACAAAGUACUUUUAAGACACAAAUUAAAAAGGGUUAAUUUGUUAACAAGUGUGGACGCAUGCCACAAGAUGAAUUAAUUACUCUUUCUCCUCAAACUUAAUAAAGAUGCACUACUAAUGGGCAUAUCUUUCCCCGUCUGACACUGGCAGGUCCAAAUUAUCAUCAGUGCUAGUACCAAGUGCACGGGUAAAUUCAUGCCAACAGAUGUGAACUGAAAAGCAGAAAAGACAAACUCACCUGAUUGAGCAACAACCUGAAAUAAGCUGCAAAUGAGGGUGCAAGUAUGGCAUCAUACAUGAUUUAUCCAGUAACGACUGUUGUAAGAACUUCUUCUGAAUUCUCUGAGACCCGAAGGGCUAUCAAGAACCAAUUCCUUCUGAUCUAGAAACCCNNNNNNNNNNNNNNNNNNNNNNNNNNNNNNNNNNNNNNNNNNNNNNNNNNNNNNNNNNNNNNNNNNNNNNNNNNNNNNNNNNNNNNNNNNNNNNNNNNNNAGGAUCAUAAAUCCACAAUUCAUCGGAUAUCGACAAACACACCGCAUAAGAAGAUUACAUCGGAUAGAUCUCCAUGAAGAUCAUGGAGAACUUUGUAUUGAAGAUCCAAGAGAGAGAAGAAGCCAUCUAGUUACUAGCUAUGUACCCAUAGGUCUAUGGUGAACUAUUCACGCAUCAUCGGAGAGGUCAUGGUGUUGAUGAAGAAGCCCUCCGUAUCCGAAUCCCCCCUCCGGCAGGGCACCAGAACGUGCCCUAGAUGGGAUCUUGCGGAGACAGAAGAUUGCGGCGGCGGAAAAGUACUUUCGAUGAGGGCGCAACCCCUAGGGCAGAGAGCGCCCACGGGGGCCACAACCCUGUGGGCCGCGGCCUCCCCCUGGCCGCGGGGUGGGGGCUUGUGGGGCCCCUGAGGCCCCCUGCCUUGGCUCUCAGGCAUCCCGAUCUUCUUCCGUUACGGAAAAAAUCUUUUCGGGGAUUUCUUCCGUUUGGACUCUGUUUCAAAAUCUCCUCUGAAAGGGGUCAAAAACAUGGAAAAACAGGAACUGGCACUUGGCACUGAGUUAAUAAGUUAGUCCCAAAAAAUAUAUAUAAGGCAUACAAAACAUCCAAAGUUUGACAAGAUAAUAGCAUGAAACCAUCAAAAAUUAUAGAUACGUUGGAGAUGUAUCAAGCAUCCCCAAGCUUAACUCCUGCUCGUCCUCGAGUAGGGAAGUGAUAAAGAAUGAAUAUUUAAUGUGGAAUGCUACCUAGCAUAGUUGUCCUUUGCAACUUCUUUCACGUGACAUGAAUGUUCAGAUCCAUAAGAUUCAAAACAAUAGUUUGCUAUUGACAUGAAAACGAUAAUACUUCAAGCAAACUAGCAAAGUAAUCAUGAACUUUUAAAAUAACAAGGCCAAUGAAAGUUAUCCCUACAAAAUCAUAUAGUCUGGCUAUGCUCCAUCAUCCUCACAUUACUAAUGUAAAUCAUGCGCAACCCCGGUAUUGGCCAAGUAAUUGUUUUCGCACUCUUACUUUCUCAAACUUUUUAUAACUAUCACGUAAUACAUGAGCGCGAGCCAUGGAUAUAGCACUAUAGGUGGAAUAGAGUGUGGUGGUGGUUGUGGGACAAAAAAGGGGAAGAUGGUUGAUACGUCUCCAACGUAUCAACUUUUUCAAACUCUUUUGCCCUUGUUUUGGACUAGAAUUUGCAUGAUUUGAACGGAACUAACCUAGACUGACGCUGUUUUCAGCAGAAUUGCCUUGGUGUUAUUUUUGUGAAGAAAUCAAAGUUCUCCAAACGUCCUGAAAAUUUACGGGGAGCAGUUUUGGAAAAUAUCAAAAAUAUCUGUGCCAAGUUCCACCUCAGGGGGUGGGUCAGUGGGCCACAAGCCCGUGCUCUGCCACCACCCCCUGGUGGCGGUGGGCAGGCUUGUGGGGCCCACAGGCACCUGCCGCCCCAAACUCCAGCUCUAUAAGUUGCCUUUCGUCCCAGAAAAAAUAAAAAGAGAAGUUUUCGUCGCAUUUUCGAUACGGAGGCGCCGCCAGCUCCUGUUCUUCAUCUGGAGGGCAGAUCUGGAGUCCGUCUUGGGCUCCGGAGAGGGGAAAUUGUCGCCAUCGUCAUCAUCAACCUUCUUCCCUCUCCAAUUCCAUGAAGCUCUUCGUCGUUCGUGAGUAAUCUAUUCGUAGGAUCGCUGGGCAGUGAUGAGUAGGAUGAGAUCUAUCAUGUAAUCGAGUUAGUUUUGAUGGGGAUUGAUCCCUAGUAUCCACUAUGUUGUGAGAUUUGAUGUUGCUACUACUUUUCCAUGCUUAGUGCUUGUCACUAGGGCCCGAGUGUCAUGAUUUCAGAUCUGAAAUUAUUAUGUUGUCACCAAUAUAUGUGUGUUUUAGAUCCAAUCUUGCAAGUUGUAGUUACCUACUAUGUGUUAUGAUCCGGCAACCCCGGAGUGACAAUAACCGGAACCACUCCCGGUGAUGACCAUAGUUUGAGGAGUUCAUGUGUUCACCAAGUGCUAAUGCGUUGGUCCGGUUCUUUAUUAAAAGGAGAACCUUAAUAUCCAGUAGUUUCCUUUUGGACCCCGCUGCCACGGGAGGGCUGGACAAUAGAGGUCAUGCAAGUUCUUUUCCCUAAGCACGUACGACGACACACGGAAUGCAUGCCUACAUCACAUUGACGAACGGGAGCUAGCCACUUAUCUCUUCGUGUUAUAGUUGUUGCAUGAUGAAUAUCAUCCAAACAAAUCACCGACCCAUUGCCUACGAGUUUGUCCUACUACUGCUGUUACUUGUAUUGCUCCGCUGCUGCUACUACUGUUGCUACUGCCGUUACUUGUCUUGCUCUACUGCUGCUACUACUGUUGCUACUACUGUCGCUUGCUACUGUUGCUACUUGCUAUUGCUGUCACUACUGCUGUUCCUUGCCACUGCUAUUGCUCGUUACACUGCUGCUACCUGCUACACUGUUGGUUCACCUACCAUUGACGGGAAUUGACAACUUCCAUCGACGCGGCAACGAAGGCGCCAUUGAUACAAUCGUUAGGAAUAGUCUGCCGUCAACAGAUCGUUUCUGACACCGUUGUUAUCAUACUACUUUGAUGUUACUACUGUGCUUGCAGAUACUAAUCUUUCAGGUGUGGUCGAAUCCGACAAAUUCAGCUCCUAAUACUUGAGAGUAUACUCUCACCUCCUGACGGGCUUAUCAACAAAUUGGGUCGAAUACUCUACUCUCGAAAACUGCUGCGAACCCACGCGCUGGUGGGCCAUCAACAACAUUCUUCCAGUUCCGUCGCCGGGGAGUGCUAACAGCAUUCUUCUGGUGCCGUUGCAGGAGAAGGUUCGUUUUCAUAAGCAUUCGUUUAGCUAACGCCAGAGAUUGCAGGAUCAGCCCUUUUCUGGAGCCAUUGCCAGGGAAGCACAACUGACGUCAGCAUUUUCCUGGCGCCGUUGCCGGGGAGGUAUUGCUAUAUUCUCUGAGUCACUUGGGAUUUAUAUCUGUUGAUCACUAUGAAGAAUCUGAAGGAUCCGAAGAUCAAAGUCUUGCCCUCAACUACGAGGGGAGGUAAGGAAUUGCCAUCUAGCUCUGCACUUGAUUCACCUUCAGCUAUGAGUAAGUUUGCGACAUCACCUCCUGCUAGAAAUCUUGAUAUGUCGCAUGUGAUUGAUGAUGCUUAUGAUAAUACUGCUAGAGAUGCUAUGCUUGAUACUAUGCCUGAUACUGCUAGAGAUGCUAUGCCUCAUACUGCUAGAGAUGCUAUGCUUGAUACUGCUUUGCCUGAUGAUGCUAGAGAUGCUAUUUUGCCUGAUGAUGCUAUGCNNNNNNNNNNNNNNNNNNNNNNNNNNNNNNNNNNNNNNNNNNNNNNNNNNNNNNNNNNNNNNNNNNNNNNNNNNNNNNNNNNNNNNNNNNNNNNNNNNNNNNNNNNNNNNNNNNNNNNNNNNNNNNNNNNNNNNNNNNNNNNNNNNNNNNNNNNNNNNNNNNNNNNNNNNNNNNNNNNNNNNNNNNNNNNNNNNNNNNNNNNNNNNNNNNNNNNNNNNNNNNNNNNNNNNNNNNNNNNNNNNNNNNNNNNNNNNNNNNNNNNNNNNNNNNNNNNNNNNNNNNNNNNNNNNNNNNNNNNNNNNNNNNNNNNNNNNNNNNNNNNNNNNNNNNNNNNNNNNNNAUGCUAUGCUUGAUACUGCUAGAGAUACUACUUUGCCUGAUGUUCCACUAGGAGUGUUCCUUGAUGCUCAUAUUGCUAGAGUUACUGCCAAUGCUGGUGAUGCUUCUGAAAUUGCCGAUGCUAUUGAGAUAGAACCUACUUUUGCUCCUGUUAGAUCUAGCUCUCCUAGAUAUGAAUUGCCUGAUAUACCUAAGGGUUACGUUAUGGAGGGAGAGAUAGCUGAGGAUUUUCUUGCGUGUAAGGAUGCCUAUGAUGCUGAGAAAUUAAUUCUCAAGUGGAAGGAAAAAUCUCGGGAAGUUAAAAAUGAUCCGAAGUUUGCCACUUCGCCUAUCUUUGUCACCGAUAAGGAUUAUGAAUUCUCUGUCGACCCUGAGAUAAUCUCUCUAGUCGAAUCUGAUCCUUUUCACGGUUAUGAGUAUGAGACGGUCAUAGCCCAUCUUGCCAAACUAUCCGAAAUAGCCAACCUUUUCACUAAUGAGGAGAAGAUCCGCCACUACUAUAUCCUUAAGUUGUUUCCUUUCUCGCUAAAGGAUGAUGCUAAAGCCUGGUUCACCUCUCUUGCUCCUGGAUGUGUGCGUAGUCCCCAGGAGAUGGUCUGUUACUUCUGUGAGAAAUAUUUCCCUGCCCAUAAGAAGCAAGUUGCCUUGCAGGAAAUAUACAACUUUGCUCAACUCCAAGAAGAGAGUCUUCCACAAGCUUGGGGGAGGCUCGUCCAGCUAUAGAAUGCUUUACCUGAUCACCCUCUCAAGAAGAACGAGAUACUUGAUAUCUUCUAUAACGGACUUACCGAUGCCUCUAGAGACUACCUAGAUAGUUGUGUCGGUUGUGUUUUUAGCGAACGAACUGUAGAACAAGCUAAGACCCUGCUGAAUAACCUCUUGAUCAAUGAUAAUGCUUGGACUAUUCCCGAACCACCUCCUAAGCCAACUCCUAAGAAAAGAGGUAUUCUAGUCCUCAGUCCCGAAGAUAUGCAAGAAGCCAAGAAAUCUAUGCAAGAGAAAGGCAUUAGAUCUGAAGAUGUCAAAAAUCUACCACCUAUCGAAGAGAUCCACGGUCUCGAUAACCCGAUACAGGUAGUAGAAGUGAAUUCUCUGCGUAGGUUUGACGAGAGUGAUAUUCCUUUUGAUAAACCUACUAGCCUAUGCUUUGAUGAGUUUGACAACUUUGUUGCCAAACAACAGAGUUUCAAUGAUUAUGUUAGCAGACAUUUGGAACAAAGUACUCGUAUGCUUAGCCAUUUAAGUGCUUGUGUAGACAGAAAUGUCAAUGCUCUGAAGCUUCUGAGUAAACAUGCCUCUAUGAUUAUUACUCGGGUAGAACAAGUACUUAAAGUUCAGAAUGACCUGCUCAAUGAAUUAAUUGAGAACUUUGUCAGAUUCAUUACUAGAGGAGGCAAAAUGACUCAGGAACCUUUGUAUCCUGAAGGUCAUCCUAAGAGAAUUGAUCAAGAUUCUCAAGGAAUCAAUGCUGAUACACCUAGUCAUCCUAAGGAGAAGAAGGAUGAUAGAAACCUGCACGCCAGUUCACCAAAUACUAUCACACCUGAAGAACCUAAUGAUAUUUCUGCGUCUGAUGCGGAAACACAAUCAGGUGAUGAACAUGAACCUGGUGACAAUGUGGACAGUGAUGUUCAUAAUAAUGCUCAACCUAGCCAUGAUGAGGAUGUGGAGAUUGAACCUACGGUUAAUCCUGAUAAUCCACAACCUAAGAGAUACGAGAAGAAUGACUUUACUGCUAGGAAGCAUGGUAAAGAAAGAGAGCCAUGGGUUCAGAGACCUAUGCCCUUCCCUCCUAAGCCAUCCAAGAAAAAGGAUGAUGAGGAUUUUGAGCGCUUCGUUGAGAUGAUAAGACCCGUCUUUCUGCAGAUGCAGUUAACUGAUAUGCUCAAGAUGUCUCCGUACGCCAAGUACAUGAAAGAUAUCGUGACUAAUAAAUGGAAGAUACCAGAUCUUGAGAUCUCCACCAUGCUUGCCAAUUACACUUUCAAAGGUGGAACUCCUAAGAAACUUGGUGAUCCCGGAGUUCCCACUAUACCUUGCUCCAUUAAAGGAAAGUACGUAAGAACUGCCUUAUGUGACCUUGGAGCCGGUGUUAGUGUUAUGCCACUCUCUCUUUAUCGUAGACUUGAGUUGGAUAAGUUGACACCCACUAAAAUUUCUCUGUAAAUGGCCGACAAAUCAACUGCUUUCCCUAUCGGCAUUUGCGAGGAUGUGCCUGUUGUGGUUGCUAAUACCACUAUCUUAAUAGACUUUGUUAUCUUGGAUAUCCCCGAGGAUGAUGCCAUGGCUAUUAUCCUCGGAAGACCCUUUUUAAACACUGCAGGGGCUGUUAUAGAUUGCAACAAAGGCAAUGUCACUUUCCAUGUCAACGGUAAUGAGCACACAGUGCACUUUCCGAAGAAACGAUAUCCAGUACAUUGCAUCAAUGCUAUCGAAAAGACUUCAUCGAUUCUUAUUGGGAGCUUUGAAUGCCCUAUUCCUCGUGUCAAGAUGAAGUAUGAUUUGCUUGUCGGGGAGAUUCAUAUCCCCAUUGAGGUGACUUAGUGGCUAUUCGAAAAUUCUCCGUUCUCUCUUGCGAUUCGAGAAGGUUUUGUCAUAAGGACUUGAUCAACCCCAUUGACGGAUUUGUUCCGAUGACCAUGAAACGGAUGAAUCAAAGAGUCACAUACCUCUGUUUUGAGUUUUCCUUUUCUGUUGCUUAGAAGAAAAAUGAUAGAAUUAGUUUAGCUUUUCCUAUUUUCUGUUUUAGCGUCCCGGAGAAAAAUACCUCCAAAAUAAAAGUUCUCCCAUGGUCCUGAAAAUUUAGUAUGAUUUUUUCUGGAAUUUUUGAAAAUUUCUAGGCCUGAGAGCUGGUUAGGGGGCCUGACCAGUGGGCCACAAGCCCCCCCCCCCACCGCCACCUACCCCCUGGUGGCGGGGUGCAAGCUUGUGGGGGCCACAGGCAUCCCCUCCACUCAUUCCAGCUCCCAGCCUCUUCUUCCACCUCCAGAAAAAAUUGUUUCGCAGCUCAAACCCGUGUUCUUGCUCAUUUGGCAGUGAUUUUCAAUCUCCUUGCUCAAAGCACCAUUCUCCGAACUGUUUUGGGGAAAUUACUCCUUGGUAAGUGACUCCUCCAUUGGUCCAAUUAUUUUUUGCUCUAGUGCUUUAUCCUUCGCAAAUUCUUGCUACCUUGGUGACCCUGUUCUUGAGCUAGAAAAGUAGAUUUUAGCUGGUCCCAAGUAGUUUUAGCGCGUGAUGCGGUCUCUAGGCACUAGUAGGAGUAGUUGCUACAAGGUAUGGUUGGUCCUCAUUCACUUUUCUCUUGAACUUCAAAAAUUUAAGCAAAAGGAAAUUAUGUUCAGGAGGAAGUUUCAUGGUGGUUCCUCAAGUAAGAAGGGUCCCCGUCUCUCUUUUCGGUUGCCCGAACCUUUUCAACUAAGGGACGCACCGGUGCAACUAUGUGAAUGGCCUUCCGAUGAGUUCAUGAUCGAAGUAGGCUUCAAGGAUGAGUUUGAUGCACUUGUCUGCAGUGCCGGGUUAGAAGAAUUCCUCUCAGAUAAAUGUGACCAGUAUGCUAUGCUCACUGCCUCUUUCGUGCGUAGAUUUAAAUUUUUAGUUGGCCGUGAAUCAUCCAUACUUUUGAUCUGUACGAUAAAUCCUAUACCGUGGGUCUGGAGGAUUUCAAUAGGAUUUGCAAGAUACCUGAUGGAGGUAGUGUUAUUGAUCCUCCUAAGUCUUCGGACAGAGACUUUGUCUCCAGUAUAACUGUUGGAGAAACCAGAGAUAUCACGCAAGCCACCAUAGGAAGCAUCAAUUUCCCUGCCUUGCACUACCUUGCCCUCUUCAUAGGUAGGUGCAUUAACGGCAAGGGUGCACAUUGUCACCUAUGCGCUUCUGACCUUAGUAUCCUUAAGAGCGCAGUAACAGGUGACAGGAGCUUCAAUAUGGGAGCUAUUAUAGCAAGGAGGCUGAAUAAAAAUGCCAGUGAGGGGGAUUUCUUUGGUGGAGUUUACGCUACACGCUUAGCAAAUUUUCUUGGAGUAUCCAUCCAUCCAGAAGACCCUCCUCUCCGUACAGCCUACCUUGAUCGUGUUGCUCUAACAUGCUACCAGUUCCUUGAGAGAGAUCAUGGAUCCCUCCUAUACCGCUUGAUAUUUAACCGGCAGCGUGUUUUCCAUAUUACCCUUCCUGCUCCUGCUUUCUUUGACUUUCAGGUUAAACAAAGAUACUACAUAACCAUAGGAGAGGCACAGGAGUAUGAGAGGGAGGCGACUGCUUCUCGACUUCGUGAGGCAGCUAUUCAGGCAGUGGCUGCAGCACUCCCGUAUAACACCCAUUAUGACUUUGGGUUUCGCGAGGAUUAUCCAUGGGAGUAGACCAAGCUAGGCCAAAAUCCUAAGCUUGGGGGAGUACGUGUUCUCACCGACUUUACAUUCAUGCUUAUGCUUUCGCUUUGUUAGCCGGUGUUUACACUUUGCCACUGCAUUAUCCAUGCUAGUUUCUUUUUGUUUUCUUGCUCUCUUGUUUUGUGUCCUUUUGAGAAAACCCAAAAAGAUUUGUCUUUCUUCUUUUGUUUGUUGGGAGCUUUCCCGUGUAAAUAGUUUUCUUUUUCUUUGUGUCAAGGUAGAAGAUAUUGGUUACAAUGCUUAGUGGUUCUUACAUGCUUACCUGUUUAGCUUUCAAAGAGCAAUAUUAUUUUGUCUUCUCCUUUGUGUUUGCGUGCAGAUUCAGCUUAGUCCAAUGCGCUUAUUAUCAUUUCCAUCGUUCGAUCGUGCAAAUGAAAGGCAACAAUGAUGAUAUAUGAUGAAGUGACUGAGACUGAGAAGCUGGUAUGAACUCUAUCUAUUUUGUUUUUGUAAAUAUGACUAGCUUGUCGACCCAGAUUUAGCUUUGUUGUGAGAGAACCAUGUUUGCAAUGACAACUUAGAGAUCAUAGUUUCUGAUGCCAUGCUUAUUUAGCUGAGAGCUUAUAAUGGUUUGUCUUGAUUGCCAACAUAGAUUUUGAGAUGACUGUGAUGUAGUAUGAUAGGAUGGUAUUCUCCUUUGAAUGUUUCAAGUGGCUUGACUUGGCGCAUGUUCAUGCAUGUAGUUGAAACAAAAUCAACAUAGCCUCUAUGAUGUUCGUGUUCAUGGUGAUUUAUAUCAUGUUCAUGCUUGCAUUUAAUGUUAGUCAAACUCAUUGCAUCUUGAUGACUGUUGUCGCUCUCUAGUUGGUCGCUUCCCAGUCUUUUGCUAGCCUUCACUUGUACUAAGCGGGAAUACUGCUUGUGCAUCCACUUCCAUGAACCCAAAAAAUUUCCAUGAGAGUCCACCAUACCUACCUAUUUGCGGUAUCUACCUGCCGUUCCAAGUAAAUUUGCAUGUGCCAUUCUCUAAACCUUCAAGAAAUAAAUCUGUUUUGCAUGCCUGAACCGCUCAUGUGGUGACAGAGGGCUAUUGGUAUCUUCCAUGCUAGGAGUGUUAUCCUCGACAUGUGUUUAUUCACAGUCCUUCAUGAGAAAGGGGCCGGUAUUUGGGAUGCCCAGUUCCAUGCUUAAAUCGAAAACAUAACUGUAAAACAAGACUCCCCCCGGAUUGAUGUUAGUAUGGACGGUAGCCGAGGAUUCGGCUAGCCAUGGAGUGUGAUUGAUUGGUGGUGGGGGAGUUAAAACUUUACUUUUCUAUUUGGGAACCGCCUAUAGCAUGAGUAGCAUGGAAGAUAUUGAGAAAUCUUGGUCAUUGCGUUGACAAUGAAAGCAUGCCACCCAAAAUUAUUAUCUCUGUUUUCAAAGCUUGAGCUUUGGCACCUCUGCAAAUCAAUGCUUCCCUCUGCGAAGGGCUUGUCUAUUUAUUUUCCUGUUGAGUCAUCCUCCUCUUAUAUAAGCACCAAUUAGAGAGCACCUCUGUCAUUUUUAUGCUUUGCUUUUGAUUGAUAUUGAGUAUGACUAUGACUGGAUCUUCGUUGCUAUGAAUUAUAAUGUUUAGUCAGCCCUUGAUCUUUGAAAGUGCUCUACAUUUAUGUUUUGCGGUCUCAGAAAGAGCUAGCGAGAUACCACCUAUUCAUAUUGCUUCAUGCUUGCUUUGAUUGAAGUGUUGGUAUUUGAAACUCAUUAUUAUUUACUCGUUAGCUGAUUAUGCCAUUGAUAUUAGUUUACCGUGAGACCUUUGUGUCAUUUCCUUAUGUGGUUAACUUGUGAUCUUGCUGAAAUUCUGGUUAUCAGUUAGACAUAGUUGCAACAACAAGAUCAAAUUGAGUUUGUCAAAGUUUUUCUUUCUCUCUCAGUUUGUCAACUGAGUUGCUUGAGGACAAGCAAGGUUUUUAGCUUGGGGGAGUUGAUACGUCUCAAAUGUAUCUACUUUUCCAAACUCUUUUGCCCUUGUUUUGGACUAUAAUUUGCAUGAUUUGAAUGGAACUAACCUGGACUAACGCUGUUUUCAGCAGAAUUGCCUUGGUGUUAUUUUUGUGCAGAAAUCAAAGUUCUCCAAACGUCCUGAAAAUUUACGGGGAGCAGUUUUGGAAAAUAUCAAAAAUAUCUGCGCCAAGUUCCACCUCAGGGGGUGGGCCAGUGGGCCACAAGCCCCUGCUCCGCCACCACCCCCUCGUGGCGGUGGGCAAGCUUGUGGGGCCCACAGGCACCUACCGCCCCCAACUCCAGCUCUAUAAGUUGCCUUUCGUCCCAGAAAAAAUAAAAUGAGAAGUUUUCGUCGCGUUUUCGAUACGGAGGCGCCGCCACCUCCUGUUCUUCAUCUGGAGGGCAGAUCUGGAGUCCGUCUUGGGCUCCGGAGAGGGGAAAUUAUCGCCAUCGUCAUCAUCAACCUUCUUCCCUCUCCAAUUCCAUGAAGCUCUUCAUCGUUCGUGAGUAAUCUAUUCGUAGGCUCGCUGGGCGGUGAUGAGUAGGAUGAGAUCUAUCAUGUAAUUGAGUUAGUUUUGAUGGGGAUUGAUCCCUAGUAUCCACUAUGUUCUGAGAUUUGAUGUUGCUACUACUUUGCCAUGCUUAAUGCUUGUCACUAGGGCUCGAGUGCCAUGAUUUCAGAUCUGAAAUUAUUAUGUUGUCACCAAUAUAUGUGUGCUUUAGAUCCGAUCUUGCAAGUUGUAGUUACCUACUAUGUGUUAUGAUCCGGCAACCCCGGAGUGACAAUAACCGGAACCACUCCCGGUGAUGACCAUAGUUUGAGGAGUUCAUGUGUUCACCAAGUGCUAAUGCGUUGGUCCGAUUCUUUAUUAAAAGGAGAACCUUAAUAUCCCGUAGUUUCCUUUUGGACCCCGCUGCCAUGGGAGGGAUGGACAAUAGAGGUCAUGCAAGUUCUUUUCCCUAAGCACGUAUGACGGCACACGGAAUGCAUGCCUACAUCACAUUGACGAACGGGAGCUAGCCACUUAUCUCUCCGUGUUAUAGCUGUUGCAUGAUGAAUAUCAUCCAAACAAAUCACCGACCCAUUGCCUACGAGUUUGUCCUACUACUGAUGUUACUUGUCUUGCUCUGCUGCUGCUACUACUGUUGCUACUGCUGUUACUUGUCUUGCUCUGCUGCUACUACUACUGUUUCUACUACUGUCGCUUGCUACUGUUGCUACUUGCUACUGGUGUCACUAUUGAUGUUCCUUGCCACUUUUAUUGCUCGUUACACUGCUGCUACCUGCUACACUGUUGGUUCACCUAUCGUUGACGGGAAUUGAGAACUUCCGUCGAUGCGGCAACGAAGGCGCCAUUGAUACAAUCGUUAGGAAUAGUGUGCCGUCAACAGAUCGUUUCUGACACCGUUGUUAUCAUACUACUUUGCUGUUACUACUGUGCUUGCAGAUACUAAUCUUUCAGGUGUGGUUGAAUCCGACAAAUUCAGCUGCUAAUACUUGAGAGUAUACUCUCACCUCCUGAUGGGCUUAUCAACAAAUUGGGUCGAAUACUCUACCCUCGAAAACUGCUGCGAACCCACACGCUGGUGGGCCAUCAACAACAUUCUUCCAGUUCCAUUGCCGGGGAGUGCUAGCAGGAUUCUUCUGGUGCCGAUGCAGGAGAAGGUUCGUUGUCAUAAGCAUUCGUCUAGCUAACGCUAGAGAUUGCGGGAUCAGCCCUUUUCUGGAGCCAUUGCCAGGGAAGCACAGCUGACGUCAAUGGUCACAUUGACUCGGCGUAUCAAUAGGCUAUGGAGAUGCCCAUUAAUAGAGAUCAAUAUGAAUGAGUAGGGAUUGCCAUACAAGAGAUGCACUAGAGCUAUAAGUAUGUGAAAGCUCAAAAGGAAAAAUAGUGGGUGUGCAUCCAACUUGCUUGCUCACGAAGACCUAGGGCAAUUUUGAGGAAGCCCAUCAUUGGAAUAUACAAGCCAAGUUAUAUAAUGAAGAUUCCCACUAGCAUAUGGUAGUGACAAAGCAAGAAGCUCUCAAUCAUGAAGAACAUGGUGUUAUCAUGAAGCACAAGUGUGGAAAAAGAUAGUAGCAUUGUCCCUUCUCUCUUUUUCUCUCUUUUUUUUAUUUGGGCUCUUAGGCAUCUUUUUUUCUUUUCUUUUUUUUGUAUUUGGGCUCUUUGGCCUCUUUUUUUUAUUUCCUCACAUGGCACAAUGCUCUAAUAAUGAUGAUCAUCACACUUUUAUUUACUCACAGCUCAAAGAUCACAAUGAUGAUGACUCCAUAGGAAAUGCCUCCGGCAGUGUACCGGGAUUUGCAACGAUCUAGCAUGGCGUAUGACAUUGAAACAUCUCGCUAGCUAUCUUACGAUCAUGCAAUGGCAAUAUGAUAGUGACAGCACAAGUCAUGAGACGGAAUGGUGGGAGUUGCAUGGAAAUAUAUCUCGGAAUGGCUAUGAAAAUGCCAUAGUAGGUAGGUAUGGUGGCUCUUUUGAGGAAGGAAUUUGGUGGGUUUGUGCACCGGUGAGAAUUGCGCGGCACUAGAGAAGCUAGCAAUGGUGGAAGGUGAAAGUGCAUCUAUACCAUGGACUCACAUUAGUCAUGAAGAACUCACAUACUUGUUGCGAAAGUUUUUAUUAGUAAUCAAAACAAAGUGCUAAACGCAUACUCCGAGGGGAAGGGUUGGUAGGUGUUAACCAUCGCGCGAUCCCAACCUCAACACAAAGGUUGACAAUCAAUAGAUCAAUUAUGCUCCGACUUACUAACAUAGCGGUUCACCAUACGUGCAUGCUAUGGGAAUCACUAGAUUCACAACACCCUACUAACAUAGCGGUUCACCAUACGUGCAUGCUAUGGGAAUCACUAGAUUCACAACACAAGUAUCUCUAGAUUCACAACACCCUACUAACAUAGCUCUUAAUAUUACCAAAUCCACGUCUCAAAACUAACUAAGAGGAAUCAAGACUUCUCUUUCUACUCAAUGCACAUGAAGAUGGAUGUUUUUGUAUCCUCUUUGGGUACCUAUCACUUUUGGGACUACUUUCAUAGCAUAUGCCAACUACCAAGUCACGCACCGCCGUGCUCUAAAAGAUAUAAGUGAAGCACAUAGAGCAAAAGUAUCUAGCUCAAAAGAUAUAAGUGAAGCACUAUGAGCAUUCUAGCAAAAUCACGAUGAGUGCAUGCCUCUCUCUCUCAAAAAGGUGUGAAGCAAGGAUGAUUGUGACACAACAAAAAUAAAAGACUCCUAAGAUACAAGACGCUCCAAGCAAAACACAAAUCAUGUGGUGAAUAAAAAUAUAGCUCCAAGUAAUGUUACCGAUGGAUUGAAGACGAAAGAGGGGAUGCCUUCCCGGGGCAUCCCCAAGCUUAGGCUUUUUGGUGUCCUUGAAUUUAGCUUGGGAUGCCUUGGGCAUCCCCAAGCUUGAGCUCUUUCCACUCCUUAUCUCUUUGUCCAUGAGAACGUCACCCAAAACUUAAAAACUUCACAACACAAAACUUAAACAGAAACUCGUGAUAACAUUAGCACAAGAAAACAAACUACCACUUCUUUUGGUACUAUGGAAAACUUGAAUUCCAUCUAUAUUGGUGUUCGGAUACUGUAUUCUCACUUUUCCAUGCUAGUACCCCCCGAUACUAACCAUAGUUUCAUCAAAACAAGCAACCAACUCAACAAAAAUAGAAUCUGUCAAAAACAGACCAGUCUGUAGCAAUCUGUAUACUUCGUAUACUUCUGGUACCUCAAAAAAUCUGAAUCAUUACAACGGCAUGGGAAAAAAGCAUAUAAACCAGCAGAAAAAAGAAUCAACUCAAAAUCUCUUUCUGUAUAAAAAUGAAAAAUCAUCUCGUGAGAGAAAAGUUUAUGUCUUUUUCCAGCAGGAUCAAACAACCAUUACCAAGACUAGUCAUAAAGGUUUUGCUUGGCUCAAACACAAAAGGAAACACAAAAAACACAAUCACAACAGAAUUAUGAAAGUUUGGACGCAACAAAACAGAAAGAAAAAGAUAAAUUCAUUGGGUUGCCUCCCAACAAUCGAUAUUGUUUAACGCCCUUAGCUAGGCAUAAAAGCGAUAGAAUCAUGUAUCGUCGUCUUUGGUGCUCAAACCAUAAGUGGCCCUCAUCAUGGAUUCAUAAGGCAAUCUUAUUUUAUUUCUAGGAAAGUGUUCCAUGCCCUUCCUUAAAGGGAAUUGAAAUCUAAUAUUCCCUUCCUUCAUAUCGAUGAUAGCACUGAUAGUCCUUAGGAAAGGUCCACCAAGAAUAAUAGGGCAUGUAGGAUUGCAAUCAAUGUCAAGCACAAUGAAAUCCACGGGUACAUAGUUCCUAUUUGCAAUAAUAAGAACAUAAUUUAUCCUUCCCAUGGUCUCUUGACAGUAGAAUCAGCAAGAUGCAAAUUAAUAGAACACUCUUCAAUCUCAUUAAAACCCAGAACAUCACAUAAAGUCUUUGGAAUCGCGGAAACACUAGCACCCAAAUCACACAAAGCAUUGCAUUCAUAGUUUUUUAUUUUGAUUUUGAUGGUAGGUUCCCACUCAUCAUGAAGCUUUCUAGGGAUAGAGACUUCUAAUUCAAGUUUCUCUUCAAGAUAUUUUAUCAUAGCUUCGACGAAUGAUCGGUAAAGGCCUUGUUUUGGCUAUAAGUGUGUGGAGAGUUUAACAUGGAUUGCAUCAAAGAAAUGCAUUCAAUCAAGGAGCAACUAUCAUAAUUGAAUUCCUUGAAAUCCAUGGUAGUAAUUUCUUUACUACUCAAAGUUUUAACAUAUUCUACUCCACUUUCAAUGCUUUUAGCAUCAAGAUAGAUGGACUCCGAAUCAUUGGGGCACUUUUCAACCAAAGUGGAUUCAUAUCCAGCCCCAUAAUCAUUAGGUUUGACACAAGAAAACAAACAUUCAAUGGGAGUCACACCAAGCACUUUAAGAUCUUCAUGAUUCUCAUCACGAGUUUCAGGUUUAGGAGCCAUUUUAUUGACUAAAGUGGCCUGCUUAUCAGAAAUCUGGCCUGCCAACUUUUCAAGACGAGCAAACUGAAAAUUUAGCGCAAGGAAAUCUUUGGCCAUAUCAUCAACUUCUCUACUCAUAAAAGCCAGAAAAGAAUUUUGUUCCUUCAGCUCUCUACGAAAGUAACUGUUGUAUUCAAACUGUGUAGACAUGAAGCCUUUAACACUAGUUUCAAUCUCUUCUAACUUCGCAUACUGAGGAUCAAAAUCCCUUGAUUUGGCCAUUCAGGUAUUAGUAGGUAGGCAAGCGGGCAAAGAGCACGCGAGAAAAAGGGCGAACGAAAAGGCGAACAAAAAGGCGAAUGAAAAAGGCAAACAAAAAAGGCAAAUUGGUGAAGUGGGGGAGAGGAAAACGAGAGGCAAAUGGCAAACAAAGUAAAUGCAAGAGAUGAGUUUGCGACACUUACUUGGAUGAGUUCUUGACUUGAUCUUCCUCCCCGGCAACGGCGCCAGAAAUUCUUCUGCUACGGCAGCAGACAACAGCGCCACAAAUUGACACGUUGACGGAGGCUGUGCUUGCGUUGGUUUUUCCCUUGAAGAGGAAAGGGUGAUGCAGCACAGGAGCAGUAAGUAUUUCCCUCAAUUUGAGAACCAAGGUAUCGAUCCAGAAGGAGGGUCUCGUCAAGUCCAGAGUACUUGAGCAAACACAAACAAGCUUGCACCCAACACUUCAAAGGGGUUGUCAAUCCCUUCAAGAUUGUUUGCAAAAGUGAGAUCUGAAGGCUGAAAGUGCAACGAAGUAAAAAGUGUAAGGCUGAAAAUAUGGUGUGGAGUAGACCCUGGGGGCCAUAGUAUUCACUAGAGGCUUCUCUCAAAAUAGCAAAUAUCAUGGUGGGUGAACAAAUUACUGUCGAGCAAUUGAUAGAACCGCGCAAAGUCAUGACGAUAUCUAAGGCAAUGAUCAUACAUAUAGGCACCACGUCCGAGACAAGUAGACCGAUACUUUCUGCAUCUACUACUAUUACUCCACACAUCGACCGCUAUCCAGCAUGCAUCUAGUGUACUGAGUUCAUGACGAACAGAGUAACGCCUUAAGCAAGAUGACAUGAUGUAGAGGGAUAAUCUCAAACCAAUGAUGAAAACCCAAUCUUCUUACCCUUGAUGGCAACAACACGAUGCGUGCCUGGCUACCCCUUCUGUCACUGGGUGAGGUCACCACACAGUAUGAACCCAAAACCAAGCACUUCUCCAUUGCAAGAAUCAUAUAUCUAGUUGGCCAAACAAAACCCACAACUCGAAGAGAAUUACAAGCAUAUGAAAUCAUGCAUAAGAGAGAUAAGAAGAAACUCAAAUAAGAUUCAUCGAUAAUCUGAUCAUAAAUCCACAAUUCAUCGGAUCUCGACAAACACACCGCAAAAGAAGAUUACAUCACAUAGAUCUCCAUGAAGAUCAUGGAGAACUUUCUAUUGAAGAUCCAAGAGAGAGAAGAAGCCAUCUAGUUACUAGCUAUGGACCCGUAGGUCAAUGGUGAACUACUCACGCAUCAUCGGAGAGGUCAUGGUGUUGAUGAAGAAGCCCUCCGUAUCCGAAUCCCCCCUCUGGCAGGGCACCAGAACGUGCCCCAGAUGGGAUCUUGCGGAGACAGAAGCUUGCGGUGGCGGAAAAGUACUUUCGAUGAUCUCCUGAUUUUUUUGGGAUUUUUAGGGAAUAUAUAGGCGCAACCCCUAGGACAGAGGGCGCCCAAGGGGCCCACAAUCCUGUGGGUCGCGGCCUCCCCCCUGGCCGCGGGGUGGGGGCUUGUGGGGCCCCUGAGGCCCCCCUGCCUUAGCUCUCAAGCUUCCCGAUCUUCUUCCGUUACGGAAAAAAUCUUUUCAGGGAUUUUCUUCCGUUUGGACUCUGUUUCAAAAUCUCCUCUGAAAGGGGUCGUAAACAUGGAAAAAACAGGAACUGGCACUUGGCAGUGAGUUAAUAAGUUAGUCCCACAAAAUAUAUAAAAGGCAUACAAAACAUCUAAAGUUUGACAAGAUAAUAGCAUGAAACCAUCAAAAAUUAUAGAUACGUUGGAGAUGUAUCAACCCCCUUGAUAAAUCGUGUAGUGUUAAGACUUAUCCGGCAGGACCCAACAUCGGUGUUAAUUUGCUAAUCACUUAAUAAUAAUAUGCAUAGGGAAUAGCUACCCCGAGGAAGUAAUCAACAACCCGGGCCAGUGCUCCUCAUGAGUGUUGGUCCAAACUAAAUCAAUCGUGCGGGGCCAUCCCGGGGCAACUCGGGAGAUUUCUCUGGCCACUGUACACUUCGCUUAUCCGACGUGUCCUGAGACUGAGAUACGCAGCUCUUAUCAGGGUCAUCGACAUGUUAGGAGGUCCUGCUAGUCUUGUCUUACCUUAGCGAUAUAUCUUGCGUAUAGGAAUCCCGGUGAAGCUUUAGUUCUCCCCAGAGUUGAGGUUUUCCUCUAAGGAAUCCGACGAGAUCACGAGAUUCAUGAUAGAGGGUUACUUUGCAGCCCGUGACCGUUUGUGAUGGACUAGUUGGAGCACCCCUGCAGGGUUUAAUCUUUCGGAAAGUCGUGCCCGCGUUAUGUGGCAACUUGGAAUAUUUGUUAACAUCCGGUUAUAGAUAACUUGAACUUAAUCUAAUAAAAUUGCCAAGUGUGUGCGUAACCAUGAUUGUCCCCUUCGAAGACCUCUCUUCGAUCGGGAACACGAUGGGGUUAUGUUUGACGUAAGUAGGUGUUCAGGAUCACUUAUUGACCAGCUUGUCUUCGCCCGCUAGUAUAGACCACCAUCAUUAACUUGUUCUACGUAAGUUAGCCACCAUAAAGCUUAGUAUGCUGCAACCUAAACACUCAACCUUCCUUACCUAAUAACUUGACUACUUCUGGCACCGAGGUCAUAGAUUGCUGAGUCCCCGUGGCUCACAGAUUACUUCAACACACCAACAGGUACAGGUACGCCUAACACAGGUGAUCCAGAUGGCACGCAGCUGGCGUGGCAGUAUGAUGAGGAGAACGACCGCCUGUACGUGAACUAUCCAGAAGACUGAGGCGUGGUCGUGAUCGUGGGAAAGCAUGCAGGGUAGCAUAGCCUUUUCUCAUUAUAUGUAGUCCGUAGCGGAACUACCUUGUCUGAAUAAUGGUGUGAUGUAAAGUCCGAUAUUAUCUAUGAGAUGGCAAACGAUUCCCUAUUUGUCAUUCUUUUAUUAUGUAUGUGCUAUGUUAUCAUGCUUGCAAAACGCUUAGAUGCGCUUCUUUCCAUUUUGGGGCCUCGUUCCCUAAAUCGGAAAGGACCGCAUCUUAGUCAUUACAAGUUGGUAAUGAGAGCCUUACGACCAUAGGAGCCUUUGUGUGAUCGUACUUGGCCGAGUCGAGUCUAGUCAAAUGUUUUGAGUCUUAGUUAUAUCGGAGAGUAGGAUUCUUUUUUCUCCUCUUCCAUGCUCUGGUGAGGUUCCCGACUUAGGAAAUCUUAAUUCUACUCCUCUUCUCGCUCAAAAAAUAUUAGGAUCACGCGGGUAUUUUGAAAUCUAUAUGAUAUCGAUGUGACGGAGUUCUGUCUUGGUGCCUCCUGUCUGCCUUGAUUUCUUCCGGGGAGUUGAGCUCCAGGGGAUUCUUGUGCACAUCGCCAUCAUUCAGAUUUCUGAGUAUCUCAGAACGAAGGAUGUUCGUAAUUGCUUCAAUACUAGUAGUGGCGAGAUAACCCCUAUGUCCCCAGUACUGGUGCAGAUUGUUCGGGAGUACUACCAUACUUUGUAUCAUUGUGAUCACGAGGGUCUGUAGUAGAUGAAGGUCCGAGAUUCUGGUUAUGUGUUGACGGAUGUGAUACACUGGACGGGUUAGUAUAGGAGUUGUGUGAAUAUUACUCCUUGUAUCCGUGUACCACAUUGCAUGACCAUAUAUUUCAGGAAUUCAUAGGUGGGAUAUCAAGUAGUGACUUAUAGGGCAAUCUUCCUACAGAUGCAUGAUGUGAGGUUGGGAUUCGACAUUCAGUGGGUAUGUUUUUUCACGGUCGUAUUAUAGUAGUUCUCGUUGUGUCUUAAAGAGUCCUUGUAGCUUGCUACGACUCGGGGAUACUUCAUAACUCGUGUGCACUACCUUGCACAGGAUGGCUACUGUAAAUUCGAGCCUGUGCGAUCUUAUCCACGAAGAUAUCGGAUGAAAUCGCGAUCAUAUGUUUGUUCCGAGCAGUUCUAGCUCAUACUUGUUUGCAAGUGGUCUUAAUCAGAAUUUUGUCGACAGUCACUUUGAGGAAGCAUUCUUACUAUUUUGUUCGAGUGCAAUUGCUAAUAUUCUUGUUCAGAUAUUCCUGCCUUUUUGAUUCAGCUAUACCUGCAAUUUAUUUUGUGGGCUAAUGUGUUGUCCGUCUUCAGGAUGGCUCCACCAACUUGUCAGAAUCCAGGUCGUGAGGAUGUGCCGCCACCACCUCCUCCUCCGAAGAAUCCUCCUCCGCCGCCGCCUCCUCCUGCAGAGGCUUGGCAAGCGGUGAUGGCUGCUACAAAUGCAAACACUCAGAUUCUGAUACAGUUGUUGCAAGAGAGGACUAAUCAGCAUUAAGGCAACUUCAAUCAUCGUGGCAAUCAGUUUGCUAAUCUGAGUCAGUUCCUGUCAAAUCAGCCAAAGACCUUCACGUCGUGUGACCAGCCGUUCGAUGCUGAGGAUUGGAUCCGCAACAUGCACAAGCACUUUGAGUGUAGCAAUGUUCAUCCAGAGAAUUUCGUCAAGUUUGCAACAUUCCAGCUGAAGGGGCAAGAAUCUAUCUGGUGGCAGCAGUUCAAGGAUUCCAGGGGUGCUAGAGUGAUCACUUGGGAUGAGUUUUGCAGAGACUUCAGAUCCCACUACAUCCCAUCCAGCUUUGUGGAGGAGAUGCGUGAGAAGUUCAGGCUCUUGAAGCAAGGUGGUAACUCCGUGUACAAGUACAACGUCGAGUUCCACGAGCUAGCCCGAUACGCCUUGCAGGAUAUCCCUCAUCAGAAGAGAAAGAUUUAUCAGUUCAGAGGUGGCUUGAAAGAAGAUUUGCAAUUAGCUCUCGCUUUGCACGAUACUGAGGAGUUCGAUAAGUUCUACAACUUAGCUCUCAGGGCUGAGUCAGCUUUGCUCAGGGUGGAGAAUCCUAAGAAGCGCUUCAGAAAUUCCAGCUCGUCUUCCUCAACUCAGGUGGUUCAGAAGCAACAGAAGUAUUGGGUGUCUCCUCCUCCUCCUCGGCACACGCAGUAGUUCAAGCAUUCAGGUGGUCGUGGUUCUUCCCACCCACCCAACCCAGCUUUCCAGCAGAGAUUCCAGCAGCAGAAGCAAGGGCCUCCUCAGACACAGUACUGUCAGCCAUUAGAUGUUACUUGUCACAAGUGUGGGCAGAAGGGUCACUAUGCCAACAAGUGCACUUCUCAGCUCCGUCUUCCACCUCCUCCUCCAGGCAAACCUCCAAGCAAUGCUCUCGUCAAGUUCAACCCCAGGUCUACUCGAGUCAAUAUGGUGAAUGCAGCUGAAGCAGACAACUCCUCAGAUGUGAUUAUGGGUAACCUUUCAGUCAAUGAUUUUCCUGCUAAAGUCUUGUUCGAUUCUGGUGCUUCGCAUUGCUUUAUGUCAAAAUCAUUUUUCUUCAAGCAUGAUUUCCCCUCGACAAUUCUGGAGAGAUCUUUGGGUGUUGUUUCUCCGGGUGCGCAGAUGAGGUCAAAUUCUAUAGUUCCUGAUGUCUCUGUCAAGAUAGGAAGUUAUUCUUUUCUGGCUUCUCCGUAUGUCUUGGGCAAUUCCGACAUUGAUAUGAUCCUUGGUAUGGACUAGUUGGCCAUGAACAAGGCAUCGAUUGAUUGUGAAGCUAAAUAAGUGAAGCUUACUCACUCUUCGGAGGACGUGAUUAUCUUCGCGGCGCGCGAUGACACAAUCCGUUUGUUCUCUUUGAAUGAAAAGGGUGAGAUUAAUCCUAUUUCGCAAGUCCGAGUGGUCUGCGAAUAUGAAGAUGUGUUUCCAUAAGAGCUGCCAGGAAUGCCUCCGCACCGAGAAGUUGAAUUUGUUAUUGAGCUUGAACCAGGUACUGAGCCUAUGUGCAAACGGCCAUACAAAUUGGGUCCAGAAGAGUUGAAGGAACUUAAGAGGCAACUCGAUGAAUAGGAGCGUUUGGGUCUGAUCAGACCAAGCUCGUCUCCUUGGGGUUGUGGAGUGUUGUUUGUCAAGAAGAAGGAUGGCACGGGCCGAUUGUGUGUCGAUUACCGUCCAUUGAACAAGAAGACAAUCAGAAACAAGUAUCCACUUCUGAACAUAAAUGAGUUGUUUGAACAGUUGAAAGGGGCUAAGAUCUUCUCCAAGCUCGACCUCAGAAUGGGCUAUCAUCAAAUUCGCAUUCGCGUAGAGGAUAUUUCGAAGACUGCUUUCAGGACAAGUUUUGGCUCGUAUGAGUAUACGGUCAUGUAUUUUGGUUUGGCAAAUGCUCCGCCGACAUUUUGUCAAAUGAUAAACUACAUAUUCUCUCCGUUCAAGAAUGAGUUCGUCUUGUUGUAUCUCGACGAUAUUCUGGUCUUUUCAGAAACUGAGAAAGAACAUGAAGAACAUCUCAGGCUGGUGCUUGAUAAGCUGAGAGAGCACAAAUUUUAUGCCAAGUUUUCCAAAUGUGAGUUCUGGUUGAAAGAAGUCAUCUAUCUUGGGCACAUCAUCUCUGCCGAGGGCAUCAAAGUUGAUCUGUCGAAGGUGCGGGCUAUUGUUGAGUAGGAGCCUCCGCAAAAUGUGAAGCAGCUUCGAAGCUUUCUCAGGCUUGCAAGCUAUUGUAGAAGGUUCGUUGAUAACUUCUCCAAGAUUGCUAAGCCUCUCUCAAGUCUUCUUCAGAAGGGUGUGAAGUAUGUCUGGUCUCCAGAGUGUCAGUUGGCCUUCGACACACUCAAAGAGAAGCUCACCUCUACUCCAGUCUUGGUUCCUCCUGAUGACUCCAAACCUUACUAAGUGUUCUGCGACGCCUCUCUUCAAGGUCUUGGUGCAGUUCUGAUACAAGAGAAGAAAGUGGUUUCUUAUACCUCCAGGCAGUUGAAGCCAGCUGAGAAGAAUUAUCCUGUGCAUGAUGUUGAGCUGGCAGCAGUGGUACAUGCUGUGAUGACUUGGAUACACCUCUUGUUGGAACGAAAGGUUGAAGUGUUCACCGAUCACAAGAGUCUCAAGUACAUCUUCACCCAGCCUAACCUGAAUCUUCGGCAAACUCGUUGGGUGGAAAAGCUCCAAGAUUUUAAUCCGAGCAUUGAGUACACACCAGGCAAAGCUAAUGCCAUGGCAGAUGCUUUGAGCAGGAAGGCUUACUGCAACAGUAUCAUUCUGAAGCCUCUCCAGCCUGACCUUUGUGAAUCUUUCAGAAAGCUCAACCUUCAGUUAGUACCUCAGGGAUUUCUUGCAAAUCUUCAGAUCUCUCCUACCUUGCAAGAUCAGGUCCGAGAAGCACAGCUUCUUGAUGCAAUGGUGAAGAAAGUCAAGAUUGGCUUGGCAAAGGGACUUCCCAAAUAUAAGUGCUUCAGCGUUGAUGCCAGAGACACGUUAUUCUUUGAGGAUCGUCUUGUCGAUUCGGAAGGUGAUCUCAGAAAGGUAAUCAUGGAAGAAGCUCAUAACUCUUUGCUCUCAAUACAUCCAGGAAGCUCCAAGAUGUAUCAGGACCUGAAACAGACCUUCUAGUGGACUCGCAUGAAGCGUGAGAUUUCUCAGUUCGUAAAUGAAUGUGAUGUAUGUCGAAGGGUGAAAGCAGACACUACAAGGAAUAUGCUAAUACACGAUGCUAUAUUUUCAUCGCUACAUCGUCACGGUUUUUAAUUCACGACGAUCUUACGACGAAAAACCAAGCGUCAAAAAUGGAGCGUCACAAAUGAACAGCAGCGACGUUUUGAUCAAAAUCAUCGUAACUUUUACGACGAUUCCUGGAUCGUCGUAACCUUUAUGACGAUCCUAAAUCGUCGUUGGCAAUCAAACCCAGUCCUACGUGGCAAAAUUACGACGAAAUCAAAACGUCAUGGUUGAAAUCAACCCAACCCAUUUCAAUUGAUCACAUGGGCUGAUUUUAUUUUUUUGGGCUUUUUCUUAUUGGGCUUCUUUUUGGGCCUUAGCAUAUUUACACCCACUUUAGUAUAUAUUUUUGUGAAUUUUUUUAUCAUUAUAAUUUGGGCCCUGGCCUUUUAGUGCCCAAAUACAUUUGAUCGAGUUUCAGUUUUGGCCUUUUUUCAUUUUUGAAUUCAGCAACUUUUUGUUCCAAAACUUGGUUUCAUUUCUAUUUGUUGGGCCUUUUAACCCAAUUAUUUGUCCAAUAUUAAAUCCAACACUAUUUCAUAUUCAAAUCAAGAAAAUUCCAAGUCGAAUUAAAAUCAUCCAUCAUAUAAUAUCACAUAAUACAUCUCCCAUGUUUACAUAACACAAUAAGCCAUCUCCUAAAUACAUUUCCGUACACAGGAAUAUAGCAAAAACAAAUAGAAUUUCAUUUGAGAAAUAGAACAAUGUCACAUCUCCUACUGUCACUACAAUGGACUACUGUCACUAUAGCAAAACAUCUGCUACUGUCACUUCAAUGGACUUCAUUCCACUAGCAAAAACAAACAUAAUUCCAUUUGAGAAGGCACAGGUAGAUUCGUUAUUCUAGAUAACAACUGUUCCCUCUUUGUAGUUUCCUCGACUUCCAUCUCCGGCAAGAGCUUUGACGACAGCAUCACAAGCAGUACUACGAUACUCACAGAGGUCAAACAGGAAAAAUGACUAGAAAAAAAGACUGACAGGAUUAUAUGAAUUCAGAUACAGCAAACACAACCAUGAACAAAUUUACUUUUACAGGACGAACAAACACGCAGAGAAAUUAAUUGAGAAUUCAUGCAUGCUUACAUUAAUUAAACAGAUCUCAAAAGUUAAAGCAGGUGCAUUACUACCAACUUGACAACAGGAACCAAAAAUCCAACAACAUAACUAUGUGAGAUGCAAAAAUAGGAUAUGUUUAUGAUGUACUACACAUGUGCACACAUCCCAAAGCAAGUCCUGAAAUAAAGAGCAUGCCACUGAACUGAACUAGUGCAUACUGCACACAUGCACCUAUGGUCCAACCAUUUCACCCGAAUUCUAAAUUGGCAACUAGUUAACAUAUUAAUCAUGUAAGUCAAUCAUAACAAGCAAGUAGGCGAGAGGGAACGCGACGACGGUGUAGAGGAUACAUAAGGUACAUUUCAGCAUUACAUCACCAAACUAAACAAAGAACAAUUCAAGAAUAUAAGGGGACUCAUAAGUCAUAACACCAUAUAAAAUAAGCUUCUAAUAGAAAUGGCUAAUAGAUCAAGAGACUAACGCCUUAGUUUUCCUAUUCUUUGGGUGGUUCCAGUGUUACUGGACAGUUUAUAAUAAUUUAUUCAACUACGUCCUCGCAACAUAGGUUCCAGUAUUACUCUGUAUGUACACGGAGGUCAUGAAAGUCACCUAUACUUAUUUGGAUCUUUGUGGAGCAGAGAUGAAGUUCAGAUUUAUUUUAUAAAUGCUUCAUUUCACACAGGAAAACUAGCUCUAUCAGAAAUCUUUAGUUUUAUUUGAGGGUGUUUGCCAUGUAUCUGAACUGAACUAACAAACAACUAGGCUGGUUGUGUGUGUUUGUGUGUGCCUGCUUGUGCAUGCAUAUGAUCUGCUAGCUGCUUGUGUGUGUACUCAGCUUCUCAACUCAUAUGUAAAACACCAAGAGAAGGGACUACUAUAAUUUAGAAUUACGACAAUGAUUUUCUAGAGCACACAACUCAUACCAGCAAACAAAAUUCACCUUUGGGGUUUAGAAUUACAAACUGACAAGUUGAGAAUAAUAGCUUUGGAUGGCAUCCAGCACAUACCUCUGGUCUCUGAACGGGAGCGGGAACGAUGCCUUAUGUGGCCAUCUCUAUCACGGUCCCUUCUGCAUUAUCACAACAUAGAUAAGAUUAUUAACAGAGUAAGCAGCAUGGCAUACAUUAUCCUCACAGUGGUUCAGAGUACAGUGUGCUAGGUCCCUGAUUCAUUGAUUUAUUUAGUUGUUUCAGCCAAAGUAACUGAAAAAAAUUCUAUACUAAACCUAAUGUGACUACUAAUUGUGAAUCAGAUUUACACUGGUUCAGUUUCUGAAGGAAUAUGAAUUAAUGCAGCCAGAAAUGAAUAUGAGUAUUGCCAAAUAGUGGCAUCAAAUCAAGUGUAGGACGUGGGAGCUCAUCAAGAAAGAAACAUUUCUGUAUGACUGGCAUCACCGAAGCGUCAAGGCCUCAACCAAACCUCUCACCAUCACCAAGGAAGAAACGAGUAAAAGAUGAAGCUGGUUACUGUGGGGGUGUUGAAACUUUACAACAGUACGGCCUCCACAAUGCUCGUUCGUCAAAUCCAUCCGGUUGCUAAACUUUGGAUGUGUUGAAUUAAAGUGAAGGUGCAUAUGCAGAAGGUAGAAACUAGACAUGCACAUGACCAAACAGUUCAGUUAAAGUGUACAGUAUAAGGAUGUCAAGGUAGGAAGUGGCACCUACAAUGACACUGAAAAUGAAGGUCGUCGACAGUAGCUCGAGUCCGCGGUCAGCCACAACCUGCAAGCAGGAAACAACGAACCUUAAGGUGGUAAUAAAUUCGUUAGAACAUUUUUUAAUCUCCAAAGUGCGGUUUGACUUGUGUAAAUCUCCGAAUGCGAUUUGCAGGAACUAGGAAACUGAAUGCCGGUGUGUAGGAGCUAGUGGAGAGAUUGAACAGAAGCUCACCGUGGGAGUCAUCCAAUCCAUGUAGGCGCAGAGUGCUGAGAGCCCCAAGAGCAGCAGGAGUGAGAGCAGACCUGCACACGUGCGCGCUCGUCAGAGUCGGCUGAGUAGACAGACAAACAACGGAAGAAGAGAAAUGUUUUGCGCCUGGGAGGGAGAGGGCACCAUUGCAGCGGUAGUGGAGGCGGGAGGAGUUGGGAGGACGGCUCCGGCGACGAGCUUGCCGGGGAGGACGAUGCAUGCGGCGGCGACAUACGCCAGGUAGGAGGCCAGCACCUCCGCCACGAUCCAGGAGGGCACCAGCGCCGCGAGCACGUCGGCCGCGUCCAUCAUCCCCGUCGCCGCGGCGAAAGGGGAUCUCAAACUGUAUCAUUUUCCAAAGAUGCUUCUCGCACGCGACAUCAAAGAGGCACGGAUUUUUCAACUCAGAUGAACGCAGGGAGGAGGAGGGGAGGUGAAGGAGGGCUUGCACUCACACGAAGGAAGUGGUGGUGGCCCUCCAGGUCCUCGAGCGCGGCGCGGAUGGCGUGUAGGCCCCACGCGUCCGUCAUGGGGGCGCCCCGACAGCGGCAGGCAGGAAGGCCGGCACACGCGGAGAGGGCAAGGAUGGCGUGGUUGAGCUUGUCCUGGAGGUCCUAGAUGCGCUCCUGCAACGCCUCCGCCUCCGCUUCCGUCGUCGGCGUCUCCCAGUCCCAUCUCAUCUCAUUCACAUGAUUCGCUCGUCGCCGUUGGAGAAAAGAGAGGGGUGGGGGCAAGAAGGCAGGCAGGCACGACACACGACGGGUGGAGCACCUUGCUGAGGUUGACGCCGAGCCGCCCGUCGGUGUCCUUGCAGUGCACGGCGGCGGCGUGCACGUCAUCGUGAGACGGACCUGUCGAUCUAGAUCGGGAGAGAGGGAGGCGGCGGCUAGGGUUCGUGCAGACAGAGGAAGAGAUGGGUUGGGUGAGGUUUGCUGCGGGUCGAUGGAUGGACGGGUGGAUGGAUGGAUGGAUGGGCGGAUGUGUGCCAUGUCAGCGAUCCAUGUCAAAACUCAUUCCACCAAUCAGACUUAAGCAUGUAUAACUUUCUCUUUUCCUUUUGUUUCUCUUAUAUUUUUCAUCCUCUUAUUCGGGGUAAACAUAAGAAUUAACCAAUAUUAUGCAUAUGUGUCUACAUUGGGAUCACAAACAAUGUGAUUUGGGAUAUUUUCAUUUUCUUAUAAUUUCUGUGAACACAGUUUGUCAGAAUUCAACUUUUUGUGAAGAACCUACCAAAUCUUUCUUACAAAUUUGAACCGGACCAUUUUUUAAGAAGAUUAGACCAUAAUUUAUACGCAAUUGGCCAAAUGGUUACAUGUCAAAAGUGAUUUUUCAUUUUUCUUUCGAAAAAAAAUCAUUUUCCAUUUUUCGGGUGCCAAAAAAUGAUUAAUCUUAUGACCAAAUUCAUGACGUAGUUUGUUCAAUAGAUCUCAUAUUCUUUGGACGGAAAAUUUGGUUUCCAUUUUCUUUGGACGGAAAAUUCAUUUGCAUUUUUCGAGUACCCAAAAUGAUUUUUUUGUGAAGGACCUACCAUAUAUUUGUUGUCAAAUUGAACCAAAUAAUUUUUCUAAAAUACUAUUCCAUAUUCAAUGUACAAUUGACAAAAUAGUUGGGUGUUAAAAGCUUUUAUCCGCUUCUCGUGAAAAAGACAAAUUUCUAUCAAUUCAGCUCGAAGGAAGGGUUUUCACAUAUUUGAGGAAUAUAUGAUCCAAAGUAUUUAUGAGAAUUUUGUGAGAAUUUUUGGAAUGGCAGAAUAGUAGGUUGCUUCACAAACUAGGAUGAGGUGGGAUAGAAUGGACCCACGAGUGACAUGUCAACAUAGUUAGAACAUGUUACGACAUUUUUAUAAUCAUCGUAAAAGUUAUGACAAUCUCAUCUUAUGCGGUUACGACGUUUUUGACUCACAUCGUCGUAAUUUAUAUGUAGAUUUGAUCCCCUCAAACGGCUUACGACAAUCUCGGAUGAAAUCGACAUAGAUUUAUGAUGAAUUCAUCAAGGCCAUCUUAAAGAACGUCGUGUAUGAGCAUAUUUCUUGUAGUGAGAGCAUCAAUGUCCAGCAGGUCUUUUGCAUCCAUUGCCCAUUCCUGAGUGAAAGUUCGGCCAUAUUGAGAUGGAUUUCGUCACCGGGUUUCCGAAGUCCAAGAAGGGUAACGAUGCCAUCUUCGUCGUCAUCAAAAGUUGAGUAAAGUGGGUUACUUUCUUCUAGUCAAGGAAUCCAUCUCCGCGGCUCAGCUUGCAGAGCUGUACACUUCCUAAAUAGUGUCUUUGCACGGCGUGCCUAUGAUGAUUUCUUCGGAUCACGGAAGUAUCUUCACUUCCAAGUUCUGGGACUCUUUUCAGACUGCGAUGGGCACGAAGAUAUGAUUCAGCACAGCUUUUCAUCCUCAGACUAGUGGUCAAGUGGAGAGAGUCAAUCAGGUCCUUGAGGAUAUGCUGAGAGCCUGUGUUAUCUCUUUUGGCAUGAAGUGGGAAGACUGCGUGCCUUUCGUUGAGUUCUCGUAUAACAACAGUUAUCAAGCUAGUUCGGGCAAAGCUCCAUUUGAGAUUCUCUAUGGCAGGAAGUGUCGUACCCCGCUCAACUGGUCCGAGACCGGCGAGCGUCAGAUUCUUGGGAAUGACUUGAUAGAAGAAGCUGAAGAGAUGUGUCGGGUCAUUCGGGAUAAUCUCAGAGCAGUGCAGUCUCGUCAGAAGAGCUAUUAUGAUAGCAAGCAUCAUGACAUGUAUUAUGAGCUCGAUGACUUCGUCUAUCUCAAGGUCUCCCCUAUGAAGGGUACACAGCGCUUUGGCAUCAAAGGCAAGCUUGCGCCUCAUUUCGUGGGUCCUUUCAGAAUUGUUGGCAAGAGAGGCGACCUUGCGUAUCAGCUCGAGCUCCCUUCAAACUUUGCAAAUGUGCAUGACGUGUUCCAUGUCUCUCAGCUCCGGAGAUGCUUCAAGACUCCCAAGCGCACUGUUCAUCUUCAAGACAUCGACCUUCAACCCGACCUAUCCUAUCUUGAGCAUCCAGUUGCGGUUCUUGAGGCGACUGAGCGCAAGACCUGCAACAAGUCUGUCAAAUUUCUCAAGGUGUAGUGGUCACAUCAUUCCGAUAAAGAGGCCACUUGGGAACGCGAGGAUCACCUCCGUUCUGAAUUCCCAGAGUCUUUCAGUCCUAGAUCUCGGGACGAGAUCUUUUUGUAGUGUGGGAGAGUUUGUAAUGGCCCAGAGUGUAACUUGCCUUAUUUGGAACCUUCUGUAUGUGGGUCCAUCUUUUCAUUGCCAUGGGAUAUCAAUGCAUGUGUUAUUUCAUGUGUUGCUUACCUUGUCAUGUUUCCCUUUGCAUGCAUGCAUCCUUAUCAUUCCAUGUCUCUUGUGUUUGUUGCUAAUGUGAUCAUGUAUGUGGUAUGACAUGUGGUGAGGACAUGUGAAGUGAUGUGGGGUGUUGUUUGAAAGUAGAGGGCAACUAUGUUGGUUUGCAACUAGGUUUCAAAACUUCUUCCUCUCUAUUUAUCUCAAGCUCAAGUUUCACUUGCUCCUUCCCUCUUUCAAAAAUGCUCAUGAUUUAGUAUGAAUGGUGGUAGAUGUGAAGCUAUGUUUUUAGUGUUUUGAAACUUUGUCUUAGUGGUGCAAAUAUUCACAAAACAAAUCAAUUAAUUCUGUUUUGUAAAUAUUUAUAUGCUCCAAAAAAUCCUUUUACAUUUUAUUUAAAUGGGUCGUCAUUCCCUUAUGACCAGGAGCAUUUUGUUUUAUUUUUAGCUUCAACAGUGUUGCCUGUGUAUUUAGUUUUGUCUCUGUUUUGUUUUAAAUAGGAAAACCCCGGUGGGUUUUUCUUUUUCUUAUGUGGCGCAUCCAGGUGGGCUUUCUCCCACUGGCUACCUGACUCCUCGUCGCGCGCAGCCCUUCCAUGUAGAUGCCGUCUUCCUUCCUCCUCCUUCCGUCAGUUCGUCAGAGAGAGAGAGGCGAUACAGAGAGCGACACCGUCUCACGAACGUCGAGGUGGCUCCCUCGCCCCUCUAUUUAAUCUGGGCGUCUGUGCUAUGGCCUAGGGUUCCUCCCUAGCCGUCACCACUUCUUUCCCCAUCUCCUCCUCCCUCUCCCUUGUCGACAGCAGGUAAGCGAGCGCCUCCUCCGCCAUGGCCGAGCCGUGAGAAGCUCCUCGCCGUCGCUAUCGUGCCCCUGCUUCCCCUCCAAGACUUCGGCGAGCACGCGGGGCCUCAAGGGAAUCCGUUUCCACAGCUAGGAGGAGCGGAUCGGGUCUGCUUCCCCUUCAUCGACGACGGCUUCUUCCUCGCCGACGAUCUCCUCCGCCUCGGCUUCUUCCUCUUCUUCCCCGACUUCCUCUCCGGCAGGCUCGGCUUCCUCGACUAGUGGGUGAGCACGAGCAUCAUUCCCUUCCCCCGUAACUAGAUCAUGCGUGUAGGAACUGUAGUCGCGCCGCCGUUCUCCUCUCUGUCACCGGCGCCGCCGUGCUUGUUGCAGCAGUAGGUGUAGGCCUUCCCAUGGCGAUCUUGGUGUAGAAAUGGAACCCUGGGAGCCCCUUCUCCCUUGCAUCGACGAGCCGCUGCCCAAUUUGAAGUAGAUCGCCGGCGGUGACCUCUCCUGUUCCGGCCACCGUUGGGCAGAGGUGGAUCUAGACGGGGUUGCUCAAAAGAGCAGAGCACCCCUCUUUGUUAACUCUGGAUAGCACAGCGUAGUGCUAGGGGGUGUUUUGCGCAGCGUUUGGUCGCGGGUUCGAGACCCAGUGGCGACACCCUUUCGCUUAUUUGAUUUUUCGGGCAUAGUAGCGCAGGAGAGACAGCUUACCAUGUAAGUCCCCUCUGUUCUUUAAAGUGACUGAGAAGUAGUGCAGUGGUGCUGGUUCUAUGAGUUAUACCAGCAGGUUUAGGGUUUGAAUCCCCCAAGCCCUUUUAUUUUAUUUUUGCCUAUUUUCUUUUGUUGUUUUUCUUUUGCUUGCAAUUGUGUUGCUGCAGCUUGCUUGGACAGCACUAGUGUGGCCUAAUAUUCUUAUACCAGUAGGUUGUCUCUAGUUUAUGUUGCUAGCAUGUGUAGUAAUGCAUGUGUAGGGACUUUGAGUGCAUGUGUGUAUGUGUGAGCAAGCUACCAUGUAUGUGUGUGUGUGUUAGUGUGUGUGUAUUGCACUAGGGUAGUGAUGUAUAUGUGGUGCGUUCCUCAUGUGCAUGAGUGAUGAGGCUAUGCACUAGGUUGUGCAAGUGUGUGAGUGAGUAUGUGUGUGGGUUCCCCCCCCCCACAUACUUUGUGGUAGUUGUAGGUGACAUGUGGUGUGAUGUGUGUGUGUGUGUGUGUGUGUGUGACACCCACAUGCCCAAGGCAUGGCAUAGCCUUAGUGAGCACUUGGUGCAAGCUUGUAUGUGUAGGAGUAGGUAUGCUUGAUGUGAGUGUAAGUAAGUCGGUGUGUGUGGAAUUAGCAUGUGUAGGUGCUUGAUGUAUGUGUGUGUGUGUAUGGUGAUGUGCUAUGGCACACAUACAUGAGGUCUAAACCCUCAUGUCACCAUUGGUGUUGUGGAUAUGUGCAAAUGCAUGUGUAGGUGAUGGUCUAGUGAGAAUCACAUGUGAUAUAGCACUAUUUACCUCUGUGUGAGUCUAUGUACAUUUUCUUCUUAGCUUUGUGCCCAUUUGUUCUAUGCGAGUACCUAGGUAUUAUAUAUGUUUUUGGGGUAGAAUCAUCCCAGGAAUCCAUUGGUGGAAUCAAUUUUCCCUUUGGAGCACUUUCUGGGGAUGUCAUAUUUCUGUUUUGUUCAAUGUUUAGAGCUUGGUUCCAUGUGAUGUGAUGAGCCCAAGAGGAUGAUUCCUUGUUGUGGCAGUAGAGGGUGAACCCCUAUAAAGCAUGGUGUUGUUGUUUCAUGCUUAGGAGUUUACAUUUGCAAGUUGUGCCCAGUCAAAGUAGGCAUGUGGCUAAAAAUAUCAGCUUAGUGAAAAACUGUGAUUUUCACUAAGUCUGAGAAAUUGCUAUUAUUUUCUUCCCUUGUAUUUGUGCUUACAAAAGUUCAUGUGUUGGGAAAGAGCCCCUGCAAUCAACUGGGAAGUUGGAGAUUUUUUGUUGAUCUAGCUCUCUGUAAAUUUUAAUUCCAUUUGACUUCCUGUAGAUAUUGUUUUGGGUGCUGUCAAAAUGCUUCAUAGCAUAAACAGCUAGUGAGAAUCUGAGAAUUUCACCAAGUCCCUGAAAACUGAUAUUUUUGUCCAAGUUAGCAGCUGUAGAUCUUUCUGUGUGUAACUCCUUUGUAUUAUCUUUUUGCUCAUGCUUGUAGAGAUUUUGAAUAGCUUUUGCCACAUAUCUUAUUUGGCACAUUUGGGUGGCUGUAGGUGCUUUGCAUGUUGCUCUCAAACUGCUAUGUUGCUGUUUAGGACAGAAUGUAUAGUUUUGUUGUUUUGAUGCUUGUGAGUGCAUAGUUGAUGGUGUGGUGAGUUUCUUUGCACCACCCCAUCUAUACUUGUUUGCAUUGUGAUUUGGCAACCUCGGAAUACAAGAAGUAUGCCAUUGGAGUGUGUUUGUGAUGGGUUUGAUCCGUAGGACUCCAUUUCUUGUUUCGUAGUUUCCGAUUGAUCCGUAGCUCCAUUCGUAACGUUCUUUAUAUGUUUUUGCAUCGUUUUCACGUGAUGCAUUUGUUCAUGUCAUCUUCAUGCAUGCCAAGAUAGAUUAGAGUGCAGUUAUGUCCAGAAGUUUGUAGUUUCUUCUCAUGCAUGUGCAAGUGACUAGAAUAGAGAUGCAUGUUCAUUCUCAUCUCAUGCAUCAUAUGUUUGUUGCAUCUUGUGGUGUUGUUGUUCAUUGGAUGCUAUCUUUAUGUUGGGUAGCACCAGGGUCGGAGAGCGAUUACGUGGAUCCGAGAGAGUACGUGCAGGACUAACAAGAGCAGUUCCAAGCUGAAGACAUCACAGGCAAGAUGACAUGACCUUGAUACCAUCUCUAGUCUUGUUGUGUCUAGAUUCACGUUUUCUUCCUCAUAUGAUCGCUGCCUACCACUGAAAUAAUUGCCUCCUGAUAUUACCAUGAAACCCAAACACUUUCCCCUCCUAGCAAUUAUUGAAUGGCUAAGUAGGCUUGCUCAGCUCCUAAUGUUAGCGUUGCUAGUUGCAGGUGCAUUUGUCUCAUGUGAUAACAUGAGUUUGAUAUCAUUAUGUUAAAUUUGUUAUUUAAUUAAUGCACCUAUAUACUUGGUGAAUGACGGGAGGCCUAGCCUUUUGCCGGGUGUUUUGUUCCAUUAUUGCCGCCAUAGUUUCCGGCUAUCGGUGUUUGAUUCCAUAACUGAUCGCUCCUAACUCGUUCGGGGUUGUUAUGGGGACCCCCUUGAUAAAUCGUGUAGUGUUAAGACUUGUCCGGCAGGACCCAACGUUCGUGUUAAUUUGCUAAUCACUUAAUAAUAAUCUGCAUAGGGAAUAGCUACCCCGGGGAAUUAAUCAACAACCCAGUCCAUGCUCCUCAUGAGUGUUGGUCCAAACUAAAGCACCGUGCAGGGCCAUCCCGGGGCAACUCGGGAGAUUUCUCUGGCCACUGUACGCUUCGCUUAUCCGGCGUGUCCUCAGACUGAGAUACGCGGCUCUUAUCAGGGUCGUCGACACGUCGGGAGGUCCUGCUAUUCUUGUCUUACCUUAGCGAUAUAUCUUGCGUAUAGGAAUCCCGGUGAAGCUUUUGUUCUCCCCAGAGUUGAGGUUUUCCUCUAAGGAAUCCGACGAGAUCACGAGAUCCGUGAUAGAGGAUUACUUUGCGGCCCGUGACCGUUUGUGAUGGACUAGUUGGAGCACCCUUGCAGGGUUUAAUCUUUCGAAAAGUCGUGCCCGCGGUUGGGUGGCAACUUGGAAUAUUUGUUAACAUCCGGUUAUAGAUAACUUGAAGUUAAUCUAAUAAAAUUGCCAACUGUGUGCGUAACCGUGACUGUCCCCUUCGAAGACCUGUCUUUGAUCGGGAACACGGUGGGGUUAUGUUUGACGUAAGUAGGUGUUGAGGAUCACUUAUUGAUCAGCUAGUCUUCGCCCGCUAGUAUAGACCACCAUCAUUAACUUGUUCUACGUAAGUUAGCUACCAUAAAGCAUAGUAUGUUGCAACCUAAACAAUGAACCUUCCUUACCUAAUAACUUGACUAGUUCUGGCACCGAGGUCAUAGAUUGCUGAGUCCCCGUGGCUCACAGAUUACUUCAACACACCAACAGGUAUAGGUACGCCCGACAUAGGUGAUCCCGAUGGCACGCAGUUGGCGUGGCAGUACGAUGAGGAGAACGACCGCCUGUAUGUGAACGAUCCAGAAGACUGAGGCGUGGUCGUGAUCGUGGGCAAGCAUGCAGGGUAGCAUAGCCUUUUCUCAUGUUAUGUAGUCCGUAGUGGAACUACCUUGUCUUAAUAAUGGUGUGAUGUAAACUCUGAUAUUAUCUAUGAGAUGGCAAACGAUUCCCUAUUUGUCAUUCUUUUAUUAUGUAUGUGCUAUGUUAUCGUGCUUGCGAAACGCUUAGAUGCGCUUCUUUCCAUUUUGGGGCCUCGUUCCCUAAAUCGGAAAGGACCGCAUCUUAGUCGUUACAUGAUGUUCACUAGUGAUGUCUCUCUCCCAAAAGACGAUAAACAACUAUGCAUGGGUAAACAAAUUAUAGUUGGGCAAUUGACACAAUUAUAAACGCACCGCAAUGCUAAUUAUGCUACUUGAAAGUUAGAGGCUCAAUAGUAAUGUGCAGUACACCGAGACAAGUAGACCGUUUAUUCAUCAGUAUCUACUUACUAAUCAUCCACCUUGAUAUAUCUAUCCAGAACAUCUCGCUGGUAUUAAGUUGCGAGCCCCACCGAAAGUGUAAACUCAAAGCAACGGACAACUGCAUUAACGAACUUUGCGUAAGGUAAACAAUACUUGCAACCACGGUCACAAGCACCGUUGUUUUCUCCCUGGUGGCAAAAGCACAUCCCAUAGUCUCAUGUUUUUGUCACUCAAGCUAGACAUCAGGGGGCAUGAACCCACAAUCAUGCAUAACGCUCCCUCUUGGAGUUACAAUCUACCACUCGACCAAACCAAUAAAAAGCAACGGAGAACAUGCAUGAAUCACUAAAGAACAUAAUAUAAAAGGAUAAUCAAAUAUAUAACUCAUCACAAUCUGAACAUAAUCUCAUAAUCCAUCGGAUCCCAACAAACCAAGCAUAGGAAUAGUAGGAAAAUUACAUAGGUGCCUGGAUCAUGUAGGGCAGCUUACAAGGGCUAAUCAUUGAAAUACAACAUUGGAGAGAAGACAUCACAUAGCUACUGGUCAUGGACUCAUGGUCCAAGGAGGACUACUCAUGGAACGUCCGGGAAGCAUCCAUGGCGGUGGAGAAGCUCCCGGAGGAAAUCCUCCCUCCGACAGGGUGCCGAGAAGAGGUCUCCUGACGCUCCCGAUCUCGGAAGCGCUGCGGCGGAUGAACGAUGGAGAAAUUCGCGAUUCUGGAUAUUGUGGAAGGGUUUCCGAUCGGAGGGGUAAAUAUAGGCCAAAGGAGGGCGUCAAAGGGCGUGGGACCCACCCAGGUGACCUGUGCACAUGGCCAGGGGCCAGGCCGCGUAGGGAGGCCGCCUGGGCAGCCCCUAGCUCCCCUGUGGCCCAUCUUCGGUGCUCCGGAAGCUUCCGACACGCUGAUUUUUACAUAUUUUUUCUCGGGAUUUUUGGGGCUCUCAAAAUUUGGGUAAAAGUCCCUGCAAAAAAGACAUCAGGAGGCAGAAACUGGCACUCGGUGCACUGAGUUAAUUGGUUAGUCCAAAAAUGUGUAAAAAGAUAUAUAAGUGUAGCAAAACAUGUAACAAUGUCACCCAAAAGAUCAUGGAACAAGUAGAAAUUAUAAAUACGUUUGGGACGUAUCAACAUCCCCAAGCUUAAUUCAUGCUCGUCCUCGAGUAGGUAAAUGAUAACACAAAUAAUGUUUGUGGUGACAUGCGAACACACAUAUAAGAACUUCAAAGUAAAACAAGUAAGAUAUGCAAUUCAAGUCAAUACAAUAACAAGCAAGAGUCUAUAUUUAGUAUUGUCAUUAGCAAAGUAAGAACAUAAAGGUGCAAGAGCUCUCGCUGUCCGUGACUCGAAUGUCUCCAAAUGGGGUUUGCGUGCAAGAAGUGGGAGAUGGGUUCAGAGCAUAAAAAAUCAAUUGAGAACUCAAUCUACUAAACUUCACACUUGGUCUCCUUCGGAAUCUUAUUUUGACUCAUCCCCAGACCACUAGUCUGACACAAGCCAAAAUGAUCCUCUCCGUUUCGACUUUGAGCACUCAUGAAAUGGAUGAGCGCAAGCAAGAUAUGUUGGCACUUAGGAUGGCAAAGAGAAUAAUGAUGGGGAAGGAAUACAAAAAGGUGUGAAAGGCUCACAUCAAUGAGGACAACCAUAGGCGAGAGAAAGCAAAAUGAUAGAUAUGAUGUGAAGAGUAGGGAUUGCCAUGCAACGGAUGCACAUAUGAGCUAAAGUAAGCUCUCCAAUGGAACUAGUGGGGGUGCAUUCAACUUGCUUGCUCAUGAAGACCUAGAGCUCAUUUGAGGAGGCUCGUCAUUGGAAUAUACAAGCCAAGUUUUAUUGUGUAAGGGUCCCCACUUAGUUAUGCACGAAUGAUAAUCUCUAUGUAGUACAAAUAUAACAAUGGAGUACGAGUGUGGAUCUUUCAAAAGGAAUAGUAGUGUUGCCCCCUUCUCUCUUUUUAUUUAUUUAUUUUUAUUUUUUUGUGGCCUCUUUGGAUCUUUCUAUUUAUCUCUCAUUUUUCCUUUUUGGGAUCUUUUAAUUUGUCCGCUUUGGGAUCUUUUAAUUUGUCCUCUUUGGGAUCCUUUCCUCACUUAAGGGCAACACUCUAUGUUUUACAAGAGUAAAAAGAAGAUCAUCACACUUUAUAAAAAGUGCUCAACAUAAAGACAAAUGAAAACUAUCAUGAUGUAUGCAAAUGUAUGCCUCUGCUAGUGUAGUAGGAUAUGCAAUGAAACUAUCGCGUCAUGUAGCAAUAAUAAGGGCAAGGGCCAACUAGCAUGCGGCUCCUCGAUCAAGCAAAAGCAUGUAUGACAUGAAGAUCAAGUCAUGAGAUGGUGGAUGUUGCAUGGCAAUGUAUCUCGGAAAGGCUAUGGAAAUGCCUUAAUAGGUAGGUAUGGUGGCUGUUUUGAGGAAAGAUAUAAUGAGGCUUAUGAUGACAGAGCGUAUCAUGCCAAGGGUUUGGAUGCACCGGUGAAGUUUGCACCAACUCUCAAGAUGAGAAAGGGAAUGCACGGUACCGAAGGGGCUAGCAAAAUAUGGAUGGUGGAAGUGCUAACAAUCGAAUACUCACAUUAGUCCGAAGAACUCAUACACUUAUUACCGGUAACUCUCUAUCUAGUCACGAGAUUCACAAAGAGACAAGCACCCCAAGGAGGAGUGUUUGGGGGUUUGGUUAUCCUUGCGCAUCCUCGACCCAUGGUAACGCGAGGGUACUCUAUAUAUUCCAACCCCUCCACAGGUUAGCGAUCAAUAUAGUAGCUAGAGUUCUCAAAUAAUUUUUUAGUUUUUGAAAAAACACACGGAUUUCCCAAAAUAUGACACCUAUCACUAAUAGGCUCAAGCUCUUGGCACCAAUAGUCCAAACAUUACUCAAAUCAAUACCUCAAAACUAUUGCAAGUUACUACUAUACUUAAAUAGCAACCUCAAUUACCUACUCAUGCAAGACACACAACUCAGUGCAACAAGCCAACUCUCUAAACAAGAUAAGCAUGAUAACUCAAGAGAGUUACAAAAUCAACCUAAAUAAAAGCUCUUAAAAAGAUAUAGCAUGAAAACUAAGAUCUAAGCAUCACAGUAGCUAUGAAAAGAUAAAGAACACACAAAAAGAUAAGCAUGAAAACCUAUGUUGUGUUCUAGUGUGGAGUGGAGCGUGUUUCUGUCCCAAACAAAGAAGGCUAGGUUCCAACUUGUUAUGAACAACAAGAAAAACUCAAAACAAACUAAAAAGUAAAGAGCGGGACGCUCCAAGCAUAGCACAUAACAUAUGAAGUGAUAAAAUAUAGCAUGGAGAUGGACGAACUGAUGAUUGUUGAUGGAGAAGGGGAUGCACGGGGGCAUCCCCAAGCUUAGACGCUUGAGUCUCCUUGAAUAUUUAUUGGGGGUGCAUGGGGACAUCCCCAAGCUUGAGCGCUUGACACUCCUGGAUCUUCUUUCAUCAUCUUCCAUCACAUACUUGAAAACUCCCUUCAUACGAAACUCAUCAUAAGCUGAUUAGAGUGGUUAGUGCCCAAGAUAAAAUAAUUCAUUCCCUACUGGUAAUAAAGAUUUUAAUGAAAAACUACUAUUUCUCAUGAUUUCCAAAAGAUUUUUGCAAAGGAAAAUCAAGCUUAAGAUUUGCAAAAUGAUGAAAACGCAAAACGUGGCAAAAUCUGUGAAAAACAGAACGGCACGUAGUAAAUAAUUGUUUCGGGGCACUUCUGCAGCUCAAAUCAAAAAACUCAAAACAGAUGCGAGAAAGACAAUUAUAUAGAUCAUGCUAUCAAAACAAUUCAUAUCAAAAAGAUGAUCUCGUGUUUUUUGGCGAAUUUUUCCGUCAAGCAGACAGAAUCUGUUUCUCGACAACAUGCCACAACUUUUGAACUUUCUUACAAUCGGAGGCUAAAACUUGGCACAAAGCUUGAAAAUAAAGAUACAAUGAUGUUGCUACAGUAGUAACAAGCAUCAAGACCACUAAAACAGAAAGUAAAAACAAAUUGGGUUGCCUCCCAACAAGCGCUUUCUUUUAUGCCUUUGAGCUAGGCAUGAUGCAAAAAUAUCAAGUAUUAUCAACUCCAUAAGAAUAACUUUCCCGAAUAACGGGCUUAUAAGGUAACUUAAUCUUCUUUCGAGGGAAGUGUUCCAUUCCCUUUUUAAGGGGAAAUUGGAAUCUAAUAGUCCCUUCUUUCAUGUCAAUGAUAGCACCAACGGUGCGGAGAAAAGGACGUCCCAAAAUAAUUGGACAUGAGGGAUCACACCCAAUGUCCAUAAUAAUAAAAUCAACGGGCACAUAAUUAUUAUAGACAACAAUAAGAACAUCAUCAAUUCUCCCUAAAGGUUUCUUUAUGGAAGAAUCAACAAGACGAACACCAAAAGAACAUUGAUCAUAAGGUUUCAAAUCAAGCAUAUCAUACAUUCUUUUGGGCAUAACGGAGGCACUAGCUCCAACAUCCCAAAAAGGCAAAGCAAGAGAUAUUAUUCAAUUUAAUCUUGACCAUAGGAUCCCAACCAUCUUCUAGUUUUCUAGGAAUAGAAGUAUCUAGCUUGAGCUUCUCCUCCCUAGCUUUGAUAAGAGCAUUGGUAAUAUGCUCAGUGAAGGCAAUAUUGAUUGUACUAGUGUGCGGGUCUUUAGCCUUCUUUGCAAAAAAAAGUGAUCACUUCGGAAAGACUACAAUUAUCAAAAUCAAGAUUACUACCAUUAAUUAAAGUGAUAGUGAUGUCAUCUAAGAUCAUUCUUUUGGUAGUCUCUAAGUUCAAAGGACCUUCUUGUCCUAUAGUUGAGGUAUUAGCAUCACCAUUAAUAGGUCCAUUGGGGCUAGGGGUGUGAUGGGUGCUAAAAGUUUUGAGAUCCUCAACAACUUGUAUAGUAGAAAUGGUAGUGUGUGUAGGAAGGCUCUUAAUCCUAUCUUCCUCUUCUUGAGUUACAACCACUUUGGGUUUGGCCGCCAUUUGAUUAAUCAAAGUGGCCUGGGUGUGAGUGAUACAUCCAUUUUGCAUCAUGCUUUCAUGUUGAUAUUUAUUGCUUCUUGGGCUGUUAUAUUACUUAUGGUACCAUAUUUAUGCAUAUUCUCUCUUAUUUUGCAAGGUUUAUUUGAAGAGGGAGAAUUCAGGCAGCUGGAAUUCUGGACUAGAAAAGGAGCAAAUCCUAGUCCACUAUUCUGCACAUCUCCAGAUGCCCUGAAAAUUUACGUGGAUUUUUUCUGGAAUAUAUUAAAAAUACUGGGCGAAAGAACUACCGGAGGGGGGCCACCAAGGCCCCACAAGCUUGCCCACCGCCACCACUCCCCCUCGUGGCGCAGGGCAGGCUUGUGGGCUGCCUAAAGGCCCACUAGCCCCCUCUUUUGCUAUAUGAAGCGUCCUGGUCUAGAAAAAAUCAAUACAAAGCUUUUUCGUGGUUUUGCCGCUGCCACAAGGCGGAACUUGAGCAGAUCCAAUCUAGAGCUCUGGCAGGACGAUCCUGCCGAGGAAAUUUCCCUCCCAGAGGGGGAAAUCGUCGCCAUCGUCAUCACCAACACUCCUCUCGCCGGAGGGGAGGCAUCUUCAUCAACAUCUUCAUCAGCACCAUCUCCUCUCCAAUCCCUAGUUCAUCUCUUGUAAUCAAUCUUCGUCUCGCAACUCCGAUUGGUACUUGUAAGGUUGCUAGUAGUGUUGAUUACUCUUUGUAGUUGAUGCUAGUUGGAUUACUUGGUGGAAGAGUUUAUGUUCAGAUCCUUGAUGCUAUUCAUUACACCUCUGGUCAUGAUUAUGAUUAUGUCUUGUGAGUAGUUACUUUUGUUCCCGAGGACAUGGGAUAAGUCAUGUUAAUAAUAGUCAUGUGAAUUUGAUAUUCGUUCGGUAUUUUGAUAUGUUGUAUGUUGUUUUUCCUCUAGUGGUGUUACGUGAACGUCGACUACAUAACACUUCACCAUAUUUUGGCCUGGAGGAAGGCAUUGUGAAUUAGUAAGUAGAUGAUGGGUUGCUGGAGUGAUAGAAGCUUAAAGCCCAGUCUAUGUGUUGCCUCGUGAGGGGCUGAUUUGGAUCCACUAGUUUAAUGCUAUGGUUAGACUUUGUCUUAAUUCUUAUUUUGUAGUUGCGGAUGCUUGCGAGAGAGGUUAAUCAUAAGUGGGAUGCUUGUCCAAGUAAGGGCAGUACCCAAGCGCCGGUCCACCCACAUAUCAAACUAUCAAAGUAACGAACGCGAAUCAUAUGAACAUGAUGAAACUAGCAUGACAGAAAUUCCCGUGUGUCCUCGGGAGCGUUUUUCCUCCUAUAAGACUUUGUUCAGGCUUGUCCCUUGCUACAAAAGGGAUUGGGCCACUUUCUGCACCGUUGCUACUACUUGUUACUUGUUACUCUUUGCUUGCUACGUUUCACCUCGCUACACAAUCACUUGUUACCGCUACUUUCAGUGCUUGCAGUUAUUACCUUGCUGAAAUCCAUUUAUCAGAGCCUUCUCCUCCUCGUUGGGUUCGACACUCUUACUUAUCGAAAGGACUACGAUUGAUCCCCUAUACUUGCGGGUCAUCAAGACUCUUUUCUGGCACCGUUGCCGGGGAGUGAAGCGCCUUUGGUAAGUGGAAAUUGGUAAGGAAACAUUUAUAUACUGUGCUAAAAUUUAUUGUCACUUGUCACUAUGGAAACUCUUCCUUUGAGGAGUUUGUUCGGGGUAUCUUCACCACGAACGGAAGCACUAGGAGUUGCUCCUCAACCCGAGGUACCUACUGAAAAUAUCUUUUACGAAAUUCCUUUGGGUAUGCUUGACAAACUGGUGGCUAAUCCUUUUACAGGAGAUGGAUCUUCACAUCCAGACUUUCAUCUAAUCUAUGUAGAUGAAGUUUGUGGUUUAUUUAAGCUUGCAGGUUUGCCCGAGGAUGAGAUAAAUAAGAAAGUCUUUCCUUUAUCUUUGAAGGAUAAGGCGUUGACAUGGUAUAGGUUAUGUGAUGAUGCUGGAUCAUGGGGCUACAAUCGGUUGAAAUUGGAAUUUCAUCAAAAGUUCUAUCCUAUGCAUUUAGUACAUCGUGAUCGGAACUUUAUUUAUAACUUUUGGCCUCGUGACAGGGAAAGCAUAGCUGAAGCUUGGGGAGGCUUAAAUCAAUGCUAUAUUCAUGCCCCAAUCAUGAGCUCUCGAGAGAAAUCAUCACUCAAAACUUUUAUGCUCGGCUUUCUCAUGAAGACCGUACCAUGCUUGACACUUCUUGUGCCGGUUCUUUUAUGAAGAAGGAUAUUGAUCACAAGUGGAAUUUAUUGGAGAGAAUCAAAUGCAACUCUGAAGAUAGGGAGCUGGAGGAAGGUAAGGACUCAGGUAUGAAUUUCCAGUUUGAUUGCGUUAAAUCUUUUGUUGAGACAAACACUUCUAGAGAUUUUAGCGCUAAGUAUGGACUUGACUCUGAGAUAGUAGCUUCUCUAUGUGAAUCUUUUGCUGCUCAUGUUGAUCUUCCCAAAGAGAAGUGGUUUAAAUAUCAUCCUCCUGUAGAAAGCAACAUAGCCAAAACCAAUCUAGUUGAGGAGAAAAUCAUAGCUUUUAGUGAUCAUGUUGUUCCUUGUGCUUACACUGAGAAACCACCAUACCCUGCCAGGAUGAAGGAUUAUUCUAAAGCUCCAACUGUGAUACGUAGGGGUUACAUUAGACCACUUGCACCCCCUGGGGAGAUUAGAGUUGAACCCAGUGUUGUUAUUAUCAAAGAUCUCUUAGCCGAGGACAUAGAUGGGCAUGUUAUCAAAUUAUGUGAGGACUCCGCUAGAAUUGCUAAACCUCACGCGAAAGACAAGCACGGACCUGUAGUUGGCCUGCCCGUUGUUUCUGUUAAGAUAGGAGAUCACUGUUACCAUGGUUUAUGUGAUAUGGGAGCUAGUGUUAGUGCAAUACCCCGUUCUCUCUAUGAUGAAAUCAAAUAUGAGAUUGCACCGGCUGAGUUAGAACCCAUUGAUGUCACUAUUACGUUAGCUAAUAGAGACACUAUCUGCCCUCUAGGAAUUGUGAGAGACGUAGAAGUCCUGUGUGGUAAGUCGAAGUAUCCUACUAAUUUCCUCGUCCUUGGUACAACACAAGAUAGCUUUUGUCCCAUCAUAUUUGGUAGACCCUUUCUAAACACUGUCAAUGCUCACAUUGAUUGCAUUAAGCAGAUUGUCACAGUAAGUUUCGAGGGUGUGUCUCAUGAAUUUAACUGCUCCAAGUUUGGAAGACAAACCCAUGAAAGAGAGUCGUCUGGUAGAGAUGAAAUCAUUGCUCUUGCCUCUAUUGUCGUACCUCCUGCGGAUCCUUUAGAGCAAUAUCUGCUUGAGCAUGAAAAUGAUAUGCAUAUGGAGGAGAGAGAUGAGAUAGAUAGAAUUGUCUUAGAACAACAUCCUAUUCUCAAGAAUAAUCUGCCUGUUGAACUGCUUGGGGAUCCUCCCCCACCAAAUGGUGAUCCUAUGUUUGAGCUUAAACAGUUUCCUGAUACUCUUAAGUAUGCCUAUCUUGAUGAGAAGGAGAUAUAUCCUGUCAUUAUUAGUGCUCUCCUCUCAGAGCGUGAAGAGAAGAAGUUACUAAAAACUCUGAGGAAGCACCGCGCUGCUAUUGGAUAUACUCUUGAUGAUCUUAAGGGUAUUAGUCCUACUCUAUGUCAGCACAAGAUUAAAACCGAUCCUGACUUUAAAGCAGUUGUGGAUCAUCAAAGGAGAUUAAAUCCUAAGAUGAAAGAGGUCGUUAGAAAAGAAAAAUUAAAGCUUCUGGAAGCAGGAAUCAUUUAUCCUCUUGCUCAUAGUGAUUGGGUAAGUCCAGUACAUUGCGUACCUAAGAAGGGAGGUAUCACCGUCGUUCCUAAUGAUAAGGAUGAACUAAUCCCACAAAGGAUUAUUACUGGCUAUAGGAUGGUGAUAGACUUCCGGAAACUGAACAAGGCAACCAGGAAAGUUCAUUAUCCUUUGUCGUUCAUCGACCAAAUGCUAGAAAGGCUAUCAAAGCACACACACUUCUGCUUUCUAGACGGUUAUUCAAGUUUCUCGCACAUACCUGUUGCACAAUCUGAUCAAAAGAAAACCACUUUCACCUGCCCUUUCAGUACCUUUGCCUAUAGACAUAUGCCUUUUUGCUUAUGUAAUACACUUGCCACCUUCCAAAGAUGUAUGAUGGCUAUAUUCUGUGACUUUUGUGAAAAUAUUGUCGAGGUUUUCAUGGAUGACUUCUCCGUUUACGGGUCUUCCUUUGAUGAUUGCCUCAGCAACCUUGAUCGAGUCUUACAGAGAUGCGAAGAAACCAACCUCGUCUUGAAUUGGGAGAAGUGCCACUUUAUGGUUAAUGAAGGUAUCAUCUUAGGACACAAAACCUCGGAAAGAGGCAUUGAAGUUGAUAAGGUUAAGGUUGAUGCAAUUGAGAAAAUGUCGUGCCCCACAGAUAUCAGAGGUAUACGAAUUUUCCUAGGUCAUGCUGGUUUCUAUAGAAGGUUUAUUAAAGACUUCUCUAAGAUUUCUAGGCCUCUUACCAACCUCUUGCAGAAGGAUGUUCCUUUUGUUUUUGAUGAGGAUUGUGAGGAAGCUUUCGAAAUACUUAAGAAGGCUUUGAUAACCGCACCUAUUGUUCAACCACCUGACUGAAACUUGCCCAUUGAAAUCAUGUGUGAUGCUAGUGAUUAUGCUGUUGGUGCUGUUCUUGGACAAAGAGUUGACAAGAAGUUGAAUGUCAUUCACUACGCUAGUAAAACUCUAGACAGUGCUCAAAGAAACUAUGCCACUACGGAGAAGGAAUUUUUAGCAGUCGUGUUUGCAUGUGAAAAGUUCAGAUCUUACAUAGUUGACUCCAAAGUCACUAUUCACUCUGAUCAUGCUUCCAUUAAGUACCUUAUGCAGAAGAAGGACGAUAAGCCUAGGCUGAUCAGAUGGGUUCUCCUGCUACAGGAAUUUGAUUUGCAUGUCGUUGACUGAAAAGGUGCUGAUAACCCUGUAGCAGAUAACUUGUCUAGGCUAGAGAAUGCCCUUGAUGACCCACUACCAAUUGAUGACAGCUUUCCUGAUGAGCAAUUAAAUGUCAUUCGCACUUCACUUAGUGCAUCGUGGUAUGCCGAUUAUGCAAACUAUAUCGUAGCCAAAUACAUACCACCCAGUUUCACCUAUCAACAAAAGAAGAAAUUCUUCUUUGAUUUGAGACACUACUUUUUGGAUGAUCCUCACCUUUAUAAGGAAGGAGUAGGUGGUGUUAUUAGACGUUGUGUGCCUGAACAUGAACAGGGACAGAUCCUGCAGAAGUGUCAUUCUGAAGCCUACGGAGGACACCAUGCUGGAGAUAGAACUGCCCAUAAGGUACUGCAAUCAGGUUUCUAUUGGCCCACUCUCUUCAAGGAUGCACGUAAGUUUGUCUUGUCUUGUGACGAAUGCCAAAGGACAGGGAACAUCAGUAAGCGUCAAGAGAUGCCUAUGAACUAUUCACUUGUCAUUGAACCAUUUGAUGUCUGGGGCUUUGAUUAUAUGGGACCCUUCCCAAGUUCUAAUGGGUAUACUCACAUCUUAGUUGUUGUGGAUUACGUUACUAAGUGGGUAGAAGCUAUCCCCACUAAAAAUGCUGAUCACCACACCUCUAUUAAGAUGCUUAAAGAAGUCAUAUUCCCAAGAUUUGGAGUCCCUAGAUACUUGAUGACUGAUGGCGGUUCACACUUCAUUCAUGGUGUUUUCCACAAGAUGCUAGCUAAGUAUGAUGUCAACCAUAGAGUUGCAUCUCCUUAUCACCCUCAGUCCAGUGGUCAAGUUGAGUUGAGUAAUAGGGAGAUCAAGUUGAUGCUACAAAAGACUGUCAAUAGAUCUCGAAAGAACUGGUCAAGCAAACUUGACGAUGCACUAUGCGCUUAUAGGACUGCUUAUAAGAAUCCCAUGGGCAUGUCACCGUAUAAAAUGGUUUACGGUAAGGCCUGUCAUUUACCUCUUGAGCUGGAACACAAAGCUUAUUGGGCAAUCAAAGAGCUCAACUUUGAUUUCAAACUUGCCGGUGAGAAGCGGUUGUUUGAUAUCAGCUCGUUAGAUGAAUGGAGAGCCCAGGCAUAUGAGAAUGCCAGGUUUUUCAAGGAAAAGGUUAAGAGAUGGCAUGACAAACGAAUACAGAAACGAGAGUUCAAUGUAGGUGAUUAUGUCUUGCUAUACAAUUCUCGUUUGAGAUUCUUUGCACGCAAGCUUCUCUCUAAAUGGGAAGGUCCCUAUGUUAUCGAGGAAGUAUAUCGUUCCGGUGCCAUCAAAACCAAUAACACGGAAGGAAAUUUUCCUAGAGUGGUCAAUGGGCAAAGAAUCAAGCAUUACAUCUCUGGUACUCCCAUAAAUGUUGAGACCAAUAUCAUCAAUGUCAUAACUCCACAGGAGUACAUAAGGGAUGUUUAUCAGCCUCUUUCAGACCUUGAAAACGAAGAUGUAUCUGUUUCGGCAAGAAAUUGGACUCCGAUACUUUUCCAAUAGGAAAUUUCCUUAGUUUUGGAAUUUUUGGAAAAUUAGAAAAAUAAAAAGCAGUCCGGAGAGCAAACGAGGAAGCCACAAGGGCCCACUCCGCCACCACCCCCCUGGUGGCGGUGGGCAAGCUUGUGGGCACCUCGUGUGCCUCCCGGAGUCUGUUUUCUUGCGGAAGACUCCUUCUAGCCCAGAAAAAACAAUAUAUAGUCACCCGAAGGUUUUGAUCUCCGUAUCGCGCAGUUUUCCUCUGUUUUUGUUUCGAGCUUGUUGUGCCGCAGAUCUAGGUCAAGAUGUCUUCUCAAGAUUCAUAGGGAGAGAGCUAUGUGGCUGACUACCUUGCUAACCCCAAGGUCCAUGGGGACUUGGAAUCAUAUGGCUGGACCACUAAUGAGGAAGAGGACUAUGAGCCCAAAGGGAAGGAGCAAACGAGUUCCGAUGAAGAGGAGGCUCCUCUACCUCAACCUGCAAACACCCAUGUGGAGUUCAAGAAGUCAAGCCUUCCUGACCAUAGGAAGAAGCCUAAGACCUCGGUUAUCCCUUCUCGUUUCUUGCAGGAGAGUAAGCAGGAGCUUUGCCAUAGAGUUUUGAAACUUGAGGAGGAAAAUGACGAUCUAAGGGAGCAGAACUUUUUGCUCAAGUGGAAAUUAGACAAGCUCAAGACUGCUCCAACAACACCACCAUCACCACCAAAGGAAGACAACAAAGCAUUGGUAUGGGCAAUCCCCUUGGCUUCUGCCACGCUUGGGGGAGUUGCCCUGGUAUCGUAUCACCUUUAUAUCUUUUGCUUUUACCUUUGUUUUAGUUCUUUCCUUUUCAGUUUUUAUUUCUUCUUUUAGAGGAAUAAGUCUUUAGUUUUUAGUUUGAGUCUUUUGCUUUUGUCUCUCCCCCAAUGUAUUCGAGCUUACGAGCUAUAUAAUAAAGAGUAUCUUAGUCAAGGGCUUUGCUUUGUGCCAUGCUCAAAGAGUAUGAAAAGAACGAUAGCAUGAAAGAUCAUGAGACGAUCUUAUGGAAAGUGAUAACUUCACUUAUGACAAGUAUGAUGAUUGAAACUUGUUGAGAAUAAAUCAACAUAGACCUCAAUCAUUGUUGCAAUUAAUAAGAAGUAAUAAGGAAAGAGAGGUUCACAUAUAAAUAUAUCAUCUUAGACACUUUUUACAAUUGUGAGCACUCACCAAACUAUUACAUGCCUAGGAGUAGAUGUUGGACAAGGAAGACAACAUAAUGAAUUGUGUUUGCUUGGUUCCAAACAAUGAUAUAUGAUUAGAGAUCCCUUAGCAUGUGACGAUUGCUUCCACCUCAUAUUAGCCAAAACUCCCGCACCAAGUAGAGAUACUACUUGUGCAUCCAUAAGCCUCCAACCCAGUUUUGCCAUGAGAGUCCACCAUACCUACCUAUGGAUUGAAUAAGAUCCUUCAAGUAAGUUGUCAUCGGUGCAAGCAAUAAAAAUUGCUCUCUAAUAUGUAUGAUCUAUUAGUGUGUGGAAAAUAAGCUUUGCACGAACCUGUGAUGAGGAAGACAUAAAAGUGACAGACUGCAUAAUAAAGUUCUUUGUCACAGGGGGCAAUAUAAAGUGACGUUCCUCCGCACUAAGAGGACAAGGAUUCAAACCUCAAAAGCGCAUGACAACCUCUGCUUCCCUCUGCGAAGGGCCUAUCUUGUACUUUACUUUUUACCCUUGUAAGAGUCAUGGUGAUCAUCACCAAUUCCCUUUUUGCCUUUGUCUUGGCUGCCGUCACAUGCUUGGGAAAGAUCUAUAUUCAUAUAUCAACUUGGAGUUGAGUACUCAUGCUUUAUUGUUGUUGACUUUACCCUUGAGGUAAACCGUUGGGAGGCAAAACUAUAAGCCCCUAUCUCCCUUUGUAUCCAGCUGAAACUUUGACACCAUGAGUACCACGUGAGUUGUAACAAUUGUGGAAAACGAAAGAGAUGAUUGAGUAUGUGGGUUUUCCUUACAAGCUCUUAUCUCACUCUUUCUGAUGUUGUGAUAAAUUGCAAUUGCUUCAAUGACUAUGGAUUAUUGUUGAUUACUUCUCGGUAAGGUUUUUGCUUCAUGCUUUGCUUUGUGAAGGAAUUGUUACUUUCACAUAAGAAUCUUUAUGAUAUAUUCUUGUUCUAUGUGUGAUCAUGAAGCCCUCAUGUCUGUAUUAUGUUUUAUCAACACCUUCGUCCCUCAACAUGUGGACAUGUUUAUGGAACUUUGUUUUCGCUUGAGAACAAGCGAGGUCUAAGCUUGGGGGAGUUGAUACGUCCAUUUUGCAUCAUGCUUUCAUGUUGAUAUUUAUUGCUUCUUGGGCUGUUAUAUUACUUGUGGUACCAUAUUUAUGCCUUUUCUCUCUUAUUUUGCAAGGUUUAUUUGAAGAGGGAGAAUUCAGACAGCUGGAAUUCUAGACUGGAAAAGGAGCAAAUCCUAGUCCACUAUUCUGCACAUCUCCAAAUGCCCUGAAAAUUUACGUGGAUUUUUUUUGGAAUAUAUUAAAAAUACUGGGCAAAAGAACUACCGGAAGAGGGCCACGAGGGCCCCACAAGCUUGCCCACCGCCACCACCCCCCUGGUGGCGCAGGGCAGGCUUGUGGGCUGCAUGAAGGCCCACUAGCCCCCCUCUUUUGCUAUAUGAAGCAUCCUGGUCUGGAAAAAAAUCAAUAGGGAGCUUUUUCGUGGUUUCGCCGCCAUCACGAGGCGGAACUUGAGCAGAUCCAAUCUAGAGCUCCGGCAGGACGAUCCUGCCGGGGAAAUUUCCCUCCCGGAGGGGGAAAUCGUCGCCAUCAUCAUCACCAACACUCUUCUUGCCGGAGGGGAGGCAUCUUCAUCAACAUCUUCAUCAACACCAUCUCCUCUCCAAACCCUAGUUCAUCUCUUGUAACCAAUCUUCGUCUCGCAACUCCGAUUGGUACUUGUAAGGUUGCUAGUAGUGUUGAUUACUCUUUGUAGUUGAUGCUAGUCGGAUUACUUGGUGGAAGAGUUUAUGUUCAGAUACUUGAUGCUAUUCAUUACACCUCUGGUCAUGAUUAUGAUUAUGUCUUGUGAGUAGUUACUUUUGUUCCUGAGGACAUGGGAUAAGUCAUGUUAAUAAUAGUCAUGUGAAUUUGGUAUUCGUUCGGUAUUUUGAUAUGUUGUAUGUUGUUUUUCCUCUAGUGGUGUUAUGUGAACGUCGAGUACAUAACACUUCACCAUAUUUGGGCCUAGAGGAAGGCAUUGGGAAGUAGUAAGUAGAUGAUGGGUUGCUGAAGUGACAGAAGCUUAAACCCCAGUCUAUGUGUUGCUUCGUGAGGGGCUGAUUUGGAUCCACUAGUUUAAUGCUAUGGUUAGACUUUGUCUUAAUUCUUAUUUUGUAGUUGCGGAUGCUUGCGAGAGAGAUUAAUCAUAAGUGGGAUGCUUGUCCAAGUAAGGGCAGUACCCAAGCGUCAGUCCACCCACAUAUCAAACUAUCAAAGUAACGAACGCGAAUCAUACGAACAUGAUGGAACUAGCAUGACAGAAAUUCCCGUGUGUCCUCGGGAGCGUUUUUCCUCCUAUAAGACUUUGUUCAGGCGUGUCCCUUGCUACAAAAGGGAUUGGGCCACUUGCUGCACCGUUGCUACUACUUGUUACUUGUUACUCUUUGCUUGCUACGUUUCACCUUGCUACACAAUCACUUGUUACCGCUACUUUCAGUGCUUGCAGUUAUUACCUUGCUGAAAUCCGUUUAUCAGAGCCUUCUGCUCCUCGUUGGGUUCGACACUCUUACUUAUCGAAAGGACUACGAUUGAUCCCCUAUACUUGUGGGUCAUCAGUGAGACAUAUUGGAAACUUGGGUCUCCGUGGUGGUGAGUCUAGUCUGGAGAUUGGAAAUCUCACUAUUCAGGCUCUCAAGUUGUCUUUCAAUGUUUUGGAAAAUAGAAGAAUUAUCAUCUAAUUAUCAAGAGAAGGCCUUGUUUUGUUCAUAUUGGGUGUCCAUAUAAUUAUUUGUAGCCUUCUCUAUCUCUAAAAGUUUUUCAUAACUAGGCAUUCUUCUAUCAUUAGGAGUGUAACUAUAGGUGUUGCUAUUCCCAUAGUUGUUGGAUUGCUACCAAAAUUACUCCUAUAAGCAUUAUUAUUAAAGUUGUUCCUAGAGAUAAAAUUAACAUCGACUUUCUCUCUUUCUUGAGCAACCAAAUAGUUUAAAGGAACAUCAUGAGGAUCAAUAGGAGCUUGCUUAGUAAGUAAAGUCAUGAUCAUGUCAACUUUAUCAUUAAGGGAUGAGAUCUCCUCAACAGAGUUUACCUUCCUACCUGUUGGAGCUCUCUCGGUGUGCCAUUAAUAAUAAUUUGUCAUCAUCUCAUCCAAUAAUUUUGUGGCAUCACCAAGUGUAGUUGACAUAAAGGUUCCUCCCGUGGCCGAGUCUAACAGAUUCCGCAAGGUAAAGUUCAGUCCUGCAUAGAAAGUUUGGAUAACCAUCCAAGUAGUCAAACCAUGUGUAGGGAAAUUCUUAACAAGAGAUUUCAUAUGUUCCAAAGCAUGGGCAACGUGUUCAUUAUCCAGUUGCCAAAUUCAUAAUGUUACUUCUUAACUAGAUAAUCUUAGCAGGCGGGUAAUACUUCCCAAUAAAAGCAUCUUUGCAGUUAUCCCAAGAAUCUAUGCUAUUCCUAGGCAAAGAUUGAAGCCACACUUUAGCUCUCCUCUCAAGGAGAAAGGAAAAGGCUUAAGUUUAACAAUAUCACCAUCUACUUAUUUAUAUUUUUGCAUGUCACAAAGCUCAACAAAAUUAUUCAAGUGCAAAUAAGCAUCAUCUCCAGCACCGAAGAAUUGAUCUUUCAUAACAAGGUUCAGUAAAGCAGGUUUAAUCUCAUAGGAGGUAGCCCCAGUGGUGGGAGUAGCAAUAGGAGUGCAGAUAAAGUCAUUGUUGUUGUGACUAGUGAAGUCACACAACUUGGUGUUUUCAGUGGAACCCAUAGCAGCAGCAACAAGCAAGAACAAAGCAACUAAUUUUUUGUGGUUUUUGGUAUAAGACUCUAAAGCAAAAACUAGAAAGCAAACUAGCCAGACUAAAAAGCAAAGGUAAAUGAUAGUGUGCAACUCCCCUAUCUUCAAGAUUAGAUUCCCCGACAACGGCGCCAAAAAUUUGCUUGAUGAUGAGUUGAUGGAUAUACUUCUCGCCCCUCGUUGGUUACCCCAAGUGGAAGGUGGAGAUGUAGUCAGCAACAGAUUUCCCCUUACACAGGGACUGUAAGGUUUAUCGAACCAGGAGGACUCCUAGGAUCAACAAGUAGGUGUCCGCUGCUCUGGCGCUAGCAGAAGACGUGGACCUGCACACACAACAAAUAACUUUGCUCCCAACAAAUACAAAGAGGUUGUCAAUCUCUCCGGCCUUGUAGUUUGCAAAGGAUCAAAACACAAGCGGGAAUAGUGAUAGUGAUUGCAACGGAAAAGUAAAUAAAAGCAGUAAAUGGUGGGGGUGUAAGCAAUGGUGGUAAUAUGGACCUGAGUCACAUGAUGUUCACUAGUGAUGUCUCUCUCCCAAAAGACGAUAAACAACUACGCAUGGGUAAACAAAUUACAACUGGGCAAUUGACAGAAUUAUAAACUCACUGCAAUGCUAAUUAUGCUACUUGAAAGUUAGAGGCUCAAUAGUAAUGGGCAGUACACCAAAACAAGUAAACCGUUUAUUCAUCAGCAUCUACUUAUUAAUCAUCCACCUUGAGAUAUCUAUCCAGAACAUCUCGCUGGUAUUAAGUUGCGAGCCCCACCCAAAGUGUAAACUCAAAGAAACGGACAACUGCAUUAAUGAACUUUGCGUAGGGUAAACAAUACUUGCAACCACGGUCACAAGCACCGUUGUUUUCUCCCUGGUGGCAACAGCACAUCCCCUAGUCUCAUGUUUCUGUCACUCAAGCUAGACAUCAGGGGGCAUGAACCCACAAUCAUGCAUAACGCUCCCUCUUGGAGUUACAAUCUACUACUCGGCCAAAGCAAUAAAAAGCAACAGAGAACAUGCAUGAAUCACUAAAGAACAUAAUAUAAAAAGGAUAAUCAAAUAUAUAACUCAUCACAAUCUGAACAUAAUCUCAUAAUCCAUCGAAUCCCAACAAACCAAGCAUAGCAAUAGCAUGCAAAUUACAUGGGUGCCUUGAUCAUGUAGGGCAGCUCACAAGGGCUAAUCAUUGAAGCACAAGAUUGAAGAGAAGACAUCACAUAGCUACUGGUCAUGGACUCAUGGUCCAAGGAGGACUACUCACGUCACAUACGGGAAGCGUCCAUGGCGGUGGAGAAGCUCCCGGAGGUCAAUCCUACCUCUAACAGGGUGCCGGGAAGAGGUCUCCUAACGCUCCCAAUCUCGGAAGUGCUGCGGUGGAGGGACGAUGGAGAAAUUCGCGGUUCUAGAUAUUGUGGAAGGGUUUUCGAUCGGAGGGGGAAAUAUAGGCCAAAGGAGGGCGUCAGAAGGCGUGGGACCACCCAGGUGACCUGUGGGCGCGGUCAGGGACCACGCCGCGUAGCGAGGCCGCCUGGGUAGCCCCUGGCUCCCCUCUAGCCCAUCUUCGGUGCUCCAAAAGCUUCCGUCAAGCUGAUUUUAUAUAUUUUUCUCGGGAUUUUUGGGGCUCUCGAAAUUUGGGUAAAAGUCCCAUGCAAAAAAGACAUCAGCAGACAUAAACUGGCACUGGGUGCACUGAGUUAAUAGGUUAGUCCAGAUAUAUGUAAAAAUAUAUAAAAGUGUAGCGAAACAUAUAACAAUGUCACCUAAAAGAUCAUGGAACAAGUAUAAAUUAUAGAUACGUUUGGGACGUAUCACAUGCUCCACCUCGUCCCGAUCACCGCCCCAUCAUACAUGGCGACCGAUGCACGGAGAGUACAAGCAACGCUUGUUGGCGAAAGAGAGAGGUUGUGGGAGGAGAUGAAGACGAGGGCAUCCAACGAGGCGCUUGGUGGCUAUGGAAAAGAGGGGUGUGGAUCAGAUCGUGGAUAGUAGGGAGGGGAAAGGAAGGGGAGGUGGCUCAGGGCACGGGACCAGAUCGUGGAGAUUUCUUUCGAGCGACAUGGAUGAUUUCCUUCCAUAGAUGGACCAGAUCGUGGAGAUUUGCUUCGAGCGACAGGGAUGAUUUCCUUCCACGGAUGGAUCAGAUCGUGGAGAUUUCCUUCGAGCGAUAGUGAUGGUUUCCUUCCAUAGAUGGGCCAGAUCGUGGAGACUUCCUUCGAACGACAGGGAUGAUUUCCUUCCAUAGAUGGACCAGAUCGUGGAGAAUUCCUUUGAGCGACACGGAUGAUUUCCUCCCAUAAAUGGACCACAUCGUGGAGAUUUCCUUCGAGCGACAAGGAUGAUUUCCUUCCAUAGAUGGACCAGAUCAUGGAGAUUUCCUUCGAGCGGCACGGAUGAUUUCCUUCCAUAGAUGCCUAGCAUGCUGAUUUUAGAGGUGUGUUUGUUUCUAUUUUUGUGUCGGUUUUUUCUCUUUCCUCUUCCGGUGGUUUUUUGUGGUGCAUGGUUUUCAAGAGGAUGAUAAAAAUCGGUGGGAGAGAAAAUCGGUGGGAGGGGAAGGGGUGGUACGAAACGAAUGACGUACCAACUGCUCCUUUAGAAACUAGUAAAUGUGCACGUGCAAUGCACGAUCUCUACCAGCAGUAUCAUGUUGCAAUAUUAUAAUAACCUUCGCCCUUUCACUAAAGCGAUUUACAAGGGUCAAUGGUAGAAACAUACCGGCAUCCGGCAAUGUCACAAACCCUGGCGUGGCCUUAUAGCACUACCAACAUGCAUUACCAUAUCUCUACACCUGUUGCUACAUAUGUCCAUGGCGGAGUUAUGCCUUUCUUCUUGCCAUGUAGCCACUUUUGUCAUGUGAUAAUAAUGUGAUGUGCUUCUUCUCAACCCAUGGGCCAUAGACAGUUAAAUCGCAGCAAACAAUAAUUAUAGCAAAGUGUUAGACGCAAGUGAACUAAAUUCAGAAGGCUUGAACAAAUUCAUUAAAAUGUUCAAGUGCAAAAAAAUCUAGCAUCAGAAGAUGAAAUGCAUAGUAAAGCAUUAAAAUCAUAAUGAAAUAACAUGAAUUCAACUACCUUCAGGAUUCCAUAUAAAGGUUGUUUAAUGGACAUGAUGCAACAGAAAAAUGGCAAGCAAACAAUAUCAGUUCAUAUGGAAAUGGUUACCAUAAUGAAAUAACAAUUUUCACGAAAAAGGAGUUCCUUUUUGAGGUACCAAUUUUCACUUUAUUGAAAGAUAAGAAAGGACAACACCGCAAUAAACACGUGAGUAGAGAAUGACCAAAAUGGGGCGCUCCAUUUUCCUACAUGACGACCUUACUUUAUAGAAUAUCACAGGGUGCUUUAUAAAGACAACUACCAUAUGGGCGAGACUUGUUAAGAGUACAAAAUAACAUCUAUUAUUUGUAGGGUGUUUGGAGAGAAAAGCUCACAACCAUAUGCAUUUGACUGUACAUCUAGCAUUGAUGAUAGGAACUCCUCCUUGGGGUUCUAAAUCAAUUCCAAGAGGAAAGGCGUGUGCUUCAGCUCAAAUCUCUAGUAUCUAGACUCUUUUCUGCAAUCACAAACAGAAAAUAAGAGAAAUAUAUAAAUAAAUGUGUUCUUGUUCUCGAAAAGAUGUGUGCGAUAGCUACCUGAUGCUCCAGUUUUUCUCAACAGGAAGUUCCCACUAUGAGGAAACAACUAAUGAUAAGGAUGUUCAUAGGGUCAUUUUGCUUAAAAAGACUACUGUCACAAAAUAUUGUGUUGUGCAUAUAAAGGUCCUCGUCUGAGCCAGCAAAGUACAUCGGCCAACACAAUUUGUUACAUUGUAUGAUCAAUUAUCUGCUUCUUCACGUAUUACCUGGUCAUCUCAUUUACCGUCGAGGUAGUAGAAAACCGAAGGGCCUUGUAUUCUUAUAUAUAAUAAUGAUGAGAAUAGUAAUGAUCGAUCAUUAAAUUGUUAAGAACUUAAGAAAUCAGAGGUGCCUGCAUUAUAAACCUUUGUUCGUCACCAUGUUUCAAAUAUGCCAUCUUCACCAAUCAUGAGGUACAAUACCUUUGAAUGGUUUGGUGUCAACUAAUGCACCAAUGAUUCAGCAAAAAUUAAUGUUUCUCAUUCUGAAUCAAAGUAACAAUGACUACUUGUCUAGUAUAAUCAUUUUUCUAAGUCUCGUGGGAAAUGAACAUAGAAACAUAGAAAAAUAUAUCUAUGCAUUACACGUCUAUUGCACUAUUAAUGCAAAAAGUUUUAAAUAAAUGUGACAUAAAAUGUUUAUUUCAGUUCUCAAGAUAAUAUUACCCAAAGCUAUUUGUGGUUCCUAAAACAUGAAGCUGAAUUGCUGGCCAAUGGAGAAAACAUAUAUCUAUGUGUGGUUCUUUCAUCAGUAAUCAGUCCUUGUGUUUCUAAAUCUCUCUAGCAAAUAAGUNNNNNNNNNNNNNNNNNNNNNNNNNNNNNNNNNNNNNNNNNNNNNNNNNNNNNNNNNNNNNNNNNNNNNNNNNNNNNNNNNNNNNNNNNNNNNNNNNNNNNNNNNNNNNNNNNNNNNNNNNNNNNNNNNNNNNNNNNNNNNNNNNNNNNNNNNNNNNNNNNNNNNNNNNNNNNNNNNNNNNNNNNNNNNNNNNNNNNNNNNNNNNNNNNNNNNNNNNNNNNNNNNNNNNNNNNNNNNNNNNNNNNNNNNNNNNNNNNNNNNNNNNNNNNNNNNNNNNNNNNNNNNNNNNNNNNNNNNNNNNNNNNNNNNNNNNNNNNNNNNNNNNNNNNNNNNNNNNNNNNNNNNNNNNNNNNNNNNNNNNNNNNNNNNNNNNNNNNNNNNNNNNNNNNNNNNNNNNNNNNNNNNNNNNNNNNNNNNNNNNNNNNNNNNNNNNNNNNNNNNNNNNNNNNNUGAUCUAGAAACCCAGAACAGUCUGAAAGGAGAUAAUCAUGUAUGUUGUCCAAUCCAUGUAUGAUAUACAAGCUUCUAACAAACACAUUUUCAAAAAUUUAUGCGAAUUACUGGAAUCACCUUUUCUCUAACACGCAUCAAAAUUAAUGUCAUUGUACUGAAAUCACUUGAACUUCAGUGUAAAGUACAUUGAGACCAGAUCCACUACUCAGUGUCUGGUUCAAUUCUUAUACUGUCACUUAUACAUUUACAACUGACUUGUUUGCUUGGCGAGCUCGGUCUUGACAUCCAAGAAGCACACGCAUUUUCAACAAUUGAUGGUACUCACUGGAUGUAUUCGUUGUCACUGGUUGGCCUCUUGUGGUAUGUAAUAACUAACUAAUUCUAGCACAUUAGAGCACGUCCUUUCUGUUACUACUAUUUCAGCAUUUUUUGUGGUGGUAUAUUCUCUUUUACUGCCAUUCAUAGGGUACUAAAUAGCUGCAAGAAAAGAUAAUGGAGAAAUUUUGCAGUUUUGAGGUAUAGGCUUAUGUCUGCCCUUCUUGUGUCAAGUUUAAUACCUCUAUGUAAUUUAAUAAUAAGCACUCUACUGUUUGGUUUCAGUAAAUUUGCUAAGUUUACCUGAAUAAUAGAAAAUGCAAUCUCCUAAGAGUUAUCUUGCUAAGUAUUGUGCUACAAUUCCAUUCAAGUCAUUUUUUCCCGUUGCAGUGCACGGCCCCUCGCUCGCCCAAACUUCAUCAAAUCUUUUUUGUAAGGAAGAAAGAUCGAUUCGUGUUGGAAUCGAAGUCAUCUACAGCUCUAAGCAGAACAUAGGGGAUCCAUCGAUGGAAUCUUUCAUGCUGCGAUGUAAACACAGAACCGACAUUCAAGGUGAUGAAAUUCAGUUGUAUAUUUUUAUCUUUUCAUUGUGUAGUUUUUGUAACUGAUUUGAAAAUCUUCUAUCCUUUACUAUUUUUAUCUUCCAUUGAUUGUUUUUUGGAGGGGGUGAAUUGCAAAGUAAUACUAACCUUUGAUGUUUGAGGCAGGAGUCGACCACGGCGUGCGAAUCCUAGGUGUCGGGACUGCCUGGCCCGGCCACGACUGCCUCGUCGCGCGGCAGGUCAGCCAGGAACUCGUGCGCUGCUCCGCUUCGGCUAUUGCCGUCGGCGCCGAUGGAAGACUGAAGAUGGCGUGGGCGGACUAGAGGAUGGCGCCCGGUGGGCUUCUUCCGCAGCAGGUAGCGCCUGGAUAGCAACGCGGCGGCCGACACGACGAACGGGAGGAGGCGGGGCGAGCGGCUCGGCGCGGCGAGCGGGGGGAGGCGGGCGACCGGGGCGACGGAGGCGAGCGAGGGGAGGAGGGCGACCGGGGCGAGGCAGGCGACCGGGGCGACGCAGGCGAGCGAGGGGAGGAGGGCGACCGGGGCGAGGCAGGCGAGCGUGGGGAGGAGGGGCGAGGUAGGAUACGUGGGGUGGGCAAUUAGCGUUAACGAAAAC
rnacentral:lncRNA from 1 species